GCUUGAUUUGCUUUCCUGUAGUCGUGUUUGGUCGUUCGCGGGCCUUCUACAUAUUUUGUAUGUUUCCACUCUUUCGUGAUUUCAGCUCAUUUAGUGUAAGUUUGCCUUCGAUUUGAUGUACUACUCGUGUCCGGUUCUGUAAUAGUAUUGAGUUAUUAUUAUGAUCCAUGUACUUUGGUGUAAUGUGUAAUUCCUUUAUUCCGAUAUAGUAUACAUUACUUCUACCGCGGAAUUUUUUUUUGAAGUCCCUUCUACCGCGGUAUUAUUAAAUGUGUCUGUCUAGGAUAGUCAUGUCACAUAGUCAUGUCACAUCUAAGUUACACAAUCAAGCAUAAAAAGAAAAAGAAAAUAAAAUAAAAUAAAAUACAUGAAGCCUUAAAAAAAACGAAUAUGAAAAUAGAUACCUACACGAAUCUCCAAGAUCAAUGACAUAGGGUCUGGGAUAGUCAUGUCACAUAUAAGUGACACAAUUAAGCAUGAGAAGUAAAAAGAAAAAUACCUAGAUGAAUCUUUAUGAAAAGGUUUUUCUUAUCAUUUAUGAAAUAUCAUCACUCUGUUUGGGCGCAUGCUAAAAAGAUGUUAUAUGACCAGAUGAAAGCCCAUCAUAUCAAAAUACCCAUGAACCCACGUGCCAGCUCUCCCUCAAAAGUGUGGGUCCCAUUCAAAAUCUCAGCGUAUUUAUUCUUAGCUUCAUGUGAGAUUGAGAGAGAUGAUAGGUGGGUCUAUUUAUUCUUAGCUUCAUGUGAGAUUGAGAGAGAUGAUCAUGUAUUUACUACAGCCAAAUCUAAUUUAUUCCUUACAUGUUAUACAAUAACAGAAUGCAUCCAUAAUUUUGUAAAGAUAAAUUCGAUUUAUUUCUCAUAUGAAAGAUAAUACAAAAUUACAGCCUGAAGAAUUGAACAUCACAUUUGCAGAAUGGAACCAAACAGUUAACUAAAGACGAUAACUAAUUAACAAAACAGUUAAUAAGUGAGCACCACACUGCACGAUAUAUAAAACAUAUACACUAGAGCAACAGAUUGCAUGGUAAAAUUAGAUAGCAGAGUUCACCAGAAUUUAUGAAGAAAAGGCAGGAGCAGCACACGCAACGGGUAAACCGAGCAUGCUUAACCGGCGUAGCUAGCAAAUGGUAAGGUGCUCAAUCUGGGGGUCGGCACGAAUGGCAGCCAUCGCGACCUCAUCCGCGCGUGCGGCCGCGAUUUGCUUCUCCGCUGCCAAAUGCUCCUUGAGAUCCUGGCUAUACUGCGUGCACCAUGGCUUAGGCCGGCGCUUAUUUGGUGGAGGGGUCGGUGAUUUGGGUGGAAGGUGUCGCGCUCGCGCGGGCGGUAGGGGCAUGUGGGAUGUGGAAGGAGGAGGAGGAUGGGGGUCGGGUGUGGAUUACCUGCCUGGAUAGGCGAGGCCGAGGAGCGUGAAGGAGGGUCACCGGCGAGGAGGCGACGACGCUUCAAGCAAGGAGUGAAGGUUUCAACUUGAAAAGGAAGGCGGAAAGAGGGGAAAUGUGGAUUUUGGUAAGGGAGAGUGGGCGGGGAGGUAGAUAUUUCCGCGGAAGCCGAAAAUUGGGAAUCACUUCAGCCAAAAAACUGGCGCGCAAAGUGUCAUCAGACACGAUCCCUUAUUCAGACACGGUCCGAAGAUAUUUUGUGCUGCAUCUCACACGGUUGGUUAUAGUAAACUGAGUGCGAUCUACUUGAUUUAUCGUCUUGAUCAUAUGAAUUACGUAAUGGGUCACAGCUACAAAGAUGCUGUUUGAAUUGUUAGAACUUUUAUCUGCAGUGAACAUGCAACUACAGGUGUGUUGUCAAAAAAAUGGGAAUUAUCUAGGGUUCGUUUGUACAUUUUUAUACAUUACCUGCGUUUUCCAGGCAUUUUAUGCGCAUAAUUCAAAUUUGAACUACAUGCACAUGCUCCAGUGCAUAUAAACUUACUGAAAAAUCAAAUAUGUGUCCUUGGUUGCAUGCUUAGGUCCCAUGCAAGAAAUAGGAAUGAAUUUCAAACACCCUACCACCGUCACUCGACGCAAACAUUGAGAUACCUGGUUUUUAAAUUCUAGUAAAUCCAAAACUCGUCUGAAAUUCAUGAAACUUGGCAUGCUAUCAUGUAGCGGCAUCAACAUGCCGUGGUAAAUUUUUUGUCCCAUUUGGGGCAGGUUUGGGUAUAAGCUUCUCACAAGCCAGAGCUUCUCACAACAAGCGUGAUGGUUUCGGUAGGGAAGGUGCCACCUUUGGGACAAAACGAUAUCCGUUGCCUCUUAUUGCUUUCGAAAUUUUUUGAGUGUCAACAUAGAACAACAAGAGUGUUGUGUUCAAUUUUGGAAUUUUUCGGGGUUCGUUUAGACAUUUUUAUGCAUUAACUGAGUUUUCAAUGCAUUUACGUGCAUAAUUCAAAUUUGAACUACAUGCACAUGCUCCAGUGCAUAUAAAUUGGUUGAAAAAUCAAAUCUGUGUCCUUGGGUGCAUGCUUAGGUCCCAUGCAAGAAAUAGGAAUGAAUUUCAAACACCAGGGCACCGUUGAUUGCCGGCAAAACAUUGAGAUGCCUGGUUUUUAAAUUCUAGUAAAUCCAAAACUCGUCUGAAAUUCAUGAAACUUGGCAUGCUAUCAUGGAGCGGCAUCAACAUGUCGUGGUACAAAUUUUGUCCCAUUUGGUGCAGGUUUGGGUAUAAGCUUCUCACAAACCGGAGCUUCUCACAACAAGCGUGAUGGUUUUCGGUAGGGAACGUCCCACCUUUGGGGACGAAACGAUAUCCAUUGCCUCUUAUUGCUUUCAAUUUUUUUCUCGUGUCAAUAUAGAACAACAGGAAUGUUGUGUGAAUUUUUGUGAUUUUUCGGGGUUCGUUUGGAUAUUUUUAUGCAUUAACUGAGUUUUCAAUGCAUUUAUGUGCAUAAUUCAAAUUUGAACUACAUGCACAUGCUCCAUUGCAUAUAAAUUGGUUGAAAAAUCAAAUCUGUGUCCAUGGGUGCAUGCUUAGGUCCCAUGCAAUAAAUGGGAAUGAAUUUUAAACACCAGGGCGCCGUUGAUUGCCGGCAAAACAUUGAGAUGCCUGGUUUGUAAAUUCUAGUAAUUCCAAAACUCGUCUAAAAUUCAUGAAACUUGGCAUGCUAUCAUGGAGCGUCAUCAACAUGCCGCGGUACAAAUUUUGUCCCAUUUGGGGCAGGUUUGGGUAUAAGCUUCUCACAAAUCGGAGCUUCUCACAACAAGCCUGAUGCUUUUCGGUAGGGAACGUCCCACCUCUGGGAACGAAAGGAUAUCCAUUUCCUCUGAUUGCUUUCAAAUUUUUUUCUCGUGUCAACAUAGAACAACAGGAGGGUUGUGUGAAUUUUUGUGAUUUUUGGGGUUCGUUUGGGCAUUUUUAUGCAUUAAGUGAGUUUUCAAUUCAUUUAUGUGCAUAAUUCAAAUUUGAACUACAUGCACAUGCUGCAGUGCAUAUAAAUUGAUUGAAAAAUAAAAUCCGUGUCCUUGGGUGCAUGCUUAGGUCCCAUGCAAGAAAUGGAAAUGAAUUUCAAACAAUAGGGCACCGUUGAUUGCCGGCAAAACAUUGAGAUGCCUGGUUUUAAAUUCUAGUAAAUGCAAACCUCGUCUGAAAUUCAUGAAACUUGGCAUGCUAUCAUGGAGCGGCAUCAACAUGCCAUGGUAAAAUUUUUGUCUCAUUUGGGGCAGGUUUCGGUAUAUGCUUCUCACAAACCGGAGCUUCUCACAACAAGCAUGAUGGUUUUCGGUAGGGAACGUCCCACCUGUGGGGACGAAAAUAUAUCAAUUGCCUCUUAUUGCUUUCAAUUUUUUUUCUCGUGUCAACAUAGAACAACAGGAGUGUUGUAUGAAUUUUUGUGAUUUUUCGGGGUUCGUUUGGACAUUUUUAUGAAUUAACUGAGUUUUCAAAGCAUUUAUGUGCAUAAUUCAAAUUUGAACUACAUGCACAUGCUCAAGUGCAUAUAAAUUGGUUGAAAAAUCAAAUAUGUGUCCUUGGGUGCAUGCUUAGGUCCCAUGCAAGAAAUAGGAAUGAAUUUCAAAUACCAGGGCACCGUUGAUUGCCGGCAAAACAUUGAGAUGUCUGGUUUUUAAAUUCUAGUAAAUCCAAAACUCGUCUGAAAUUCAUGAAACUUGGCAUGCUAUCAUGGAGCGACAUCAACAUGCCAUGGUACAAAUUUUGUCCCAUUUGGGGCAGGUUUGGGUGUAAGCUUCUCACAAACCGGAGCUUCUCACAACAAGCGUGAUGGUUUUCGGUAGGGAACGUCCCACCUUUGGGGACGAAACGAUAAUCAUUGCCUCUUAUUGCUUUCAAAUUUUUUCUCGUGUCAAUAUAGAACAACAGGAGUGUUGUGUGAAUUUUUGUGAUUUUUCGGGGUUCGUUUGGACAUUUUUAUGCAUUAACUGAGUUUUCUAUGCAUUUAUGUGCAUAAUUCAAAUUGAACUACAUGCACAUGCUCCAGUGCAUAUAAAUUGGUUGAAAAAUCAAAUCUGUGUCCUUGGGUGCAUGCUUAGGUCCCAUGCAAGAAAUAGGAUGAAUUUCAAACACCAGGGCACCGUUGAUUGCCGGCAAAACAUUGAGAUGCCUGGUUUUUAAAUUCUAGUAAAUCCAAAACUCGUCUGAAAUUCAUGAAUCUUGGCAUGCUAUCAUGGAGCGGCAUCAACAUGUCGUGGUACAAAUUUUGUCCCAUUUGGUGCAGGUUUGGGUAUAUGUUUCUCACAAACCGGAGCUUCUCACAACAAGCGUGAUGGUUUUCGGUAGGGAACGUCCCACCUUUGGGGACGAAACGAUAUCCAUUGCCUCUUAUUGCUUUCAAAUUUUUUCUCAUGUCAAUAUAGAACAACAGGAGUGUUGUGUGAAUUUUUGUGAUUUUUCGGGGUUCGUUUGGACAUUUUUAUGCAUUAUUUGAGUUUUCAAUGCAUUUAUGUGCAUAAUUCAAAUUUGAACUACAUGCACAUGCUCCAGUGCAUAUAAAUUGGUUGAAAAAUUAAAUCUGUGUCCUUGGGUGCAUGCUUAGGUCCCAUGCAAGAAAUGGGAAUGAAUUUCAAACACUAGGGCACCGUUGAUUGCCGGCAAAACAUUGAGAUGCCUGGUUUGUAAAUUCUAGUAAUUCCAAAACUCGUCUGAAAUUCAUGAAACUUGGCAUGCUACCAUGGAGCGGCAUCAACAUGCCGUGGUACAUAUUUUGUCCCAUUUGGGGCAAGUUUGGGUAUAAGCUUCUCACAAACCGGAGCUUCUCACAACAAGCAUGAUGGUUUUCGGUAGGGAACGUCCCACCUUUGGGGACGAAACGAUAUCCAUUUCCUCUGAUUGCUUUCAAAUUUUUUCUUGUGUCAACAUAGAACAAAAAGAGUGUUGUGUGAAUUUUCGUGAUUUUUCGGGGUUUGUUUGGACAUUUUUAUGCAUUAACCAAGUUUUCAAUGCAUUUAUGUGCAUAAUUCAAAUUUGAACUACAUGCACAUGCUCCAGUGCAUAUAAAUUGGUUGAAAAAUAAAAUAUGUGUCCUUGGGUGCAUGCUUAGGUCCCAUGCAAGAAAUGGGAAUGAAUUUCAAACAAUAGGGCACGGUUGAUUGCCGGCAAACUAUUGAGAUGCCUGGUUUUUAAAUUCUAGUAAAUCCAAAACUCGUCUGAAAUUCAUGAAACUUGGCAUGCUAUCAUGGAGCGGCAUCAACAUGACGUGGUACAAAUUUUGUCCCAUUUGGGACAGGUUUGGGUAUAUGUUUCUCACAAACCGGAGCUUCUCACAACAAGCAUGAUGGUUUUUAGGAGGGAACGUCCCACCUUUGGGGACGAAAAUAUAUCCAUUGCCUCUUAUUGCUUUGAAUUUUAUUUCUCAUGUCAACAUAGAACAACAGGAGUGUUGUGUGAAUUUUUGUGAUUUUUCGGGGUUCGUUUGGACAUUUUUAUGCAUUAACUGAGUUUUCAAUGCAUUUAUGUGCAUAAUUCAAAUUUCAACUACAUGCAGAAUGCUCAAGUGCAUAUAAAUUGGUCGAAAAAUCAAAUCUGUGUCCUUGGGUGCAUGCUUAGGUCCGAUGUAAGAAAUAUGAAUGAACUUCAAACACCAGGGCACCGUUGAUUGCUAGCAAAACAUUGAGAUGCCUGGUUUUUAAAUUGUAGUAAAUCCAAAACUCGUCUGGAAUUCAUGAAACUUGGCAUGCUAUCAUGGAGCGGCAUUAACAUGCCGUGGUACAAAUUUUGUCCCAUUUGGGGCAGGUUUGGGUAUGAGCUUCUCACAAAGCGGAGCUUCUCACGACAAGCGUGAUGGUUUUCGGUAGGGAACGUCCCACCUUUGGGGACGAAACGAUAUCCAUUGCCUCUUAUUGCUUUCAAUUUUUUUUUCUCAUGUCAACAUAGAACAACAGGAGUGUUGUGUGAAUUUUUGUGAUUUUUCGGGGUUCGUUUGGACAUUUUUUUGCAUUAACUGAGUUUUCAAUGCAUUUAUGUGCAUAAUACAAAUUUGAACAAAUGCACAUGCUCCAGUGCAUAUAAAUUGGUUGAAAAAUCAAAUCUGUGUCCAUGGGUGCAUGCUUAGGUCCCAUGCAAUAAAUGGGAAUGAAUUUUAAACACCAGGGCGCCGUUGAUUGCCGGCAAAACAUUGAGAUGCCUGGUUUGUAAAUUCUAGUAAUUCCAAAACUCGUCUGAAAUUCAUGAAACUUGGCAUGCUAUCAUGGAGCGGCAUCAACAUGCCGUGGUACAAAUUUUGUCCCAUUUGGGGCAGGUUUGGGUGUAAGCUUCUCACAAACCGGAGCUUCUCACAAGAAGCGUGAUGGUUUUCGGUAAGGAACUUCCCACCUUUGGGGACAAAACGAUAUCCAUUGCCUCUUAUUGCUUACCAAUUUUUUUCUCGUGUAAAUAUAGAACAACAGGAAUGUUGUGUGAAUUUUUGUGAUUUUUCGGGGUUCGUUUGGACAUUUUUAUGCAUUAACUGAGUUUUCAAUGCAUUUAUGUGCAUAAUUCAAAUUUGAACUGCAUGCACAUUCUCAAGUGCAUAUAAAUUGGUUGAAAAAUCAAAUCUGUGUCCUUCGGUAGAAGCUUAGGUCCUAUGCAAGAAAUGGGAAUGAAUUUCAAACACCAGGGCACCGUUGAUUGCCGGCAAAACAUUGAGAUGCCUGGUUUGUAAAUUCUAGUAAUUGCAAAACUCGUCUGAAAUUCAUGAAACUUGGCAUGCUAUCAUGGAGUGGCAUCAACAUGCCGUGGUACAAAUUUUGUCCCAUUUGGGGCAGGUUUGGGUAUAAGCUUCUCACAAACCGGAGCUUCUCACAACAAGCGUGAUGGUUUUCGGUAGGGAACGUCCCACCUUUGGGGACGAAACGAUAUCCAUUUUCUCCGAUUGUUUUCAAAAAAAAUUCUCGUGUCAACAUAGAACAACAAGAGUGUUGUGUGAAUUUUCGGGAUUUUUUGGGGUUCGUUUGGACAGUUUUAUGCAUUAACUGAGUUUCCUAUGCAUUUAUGUGCAUAAUUCAAAUUGAACCACAUGCACAUGCUCCAGUGCAUAUAAAUUGGUUGAAAAAUCAAAUCCGUAUCCUUGGGUGCAUGCUUAGGUCCCAUGCAAGAAAUGGGAAAGAAUUUCAAACACCAGGGCACCGUUGAUUGCCGGCAAAACAUUGAGAUGCCUGGUUUGUAAAUUCAAGUAAUUCCAAAACUCAUCUGAAAUUCUUGAAACUUGGCAUGCUAUCAUUGAGCGGCAUCAAAAUGCCGUGGUACAAAUUUUGUCCCAUUUGGGGCAGGUUUGGGUAUAAGCUUCUCACAAAACGGAGCCUCUCACAACAAGCGUGAUGGUUUUCGGUAGGGAACGUCCCGCCUUUGGGGACGAAACGAUAUCCAUUUCCUCUGAUUGUUUUCAAAAAAAAUUCUCGUGUCAACAUAGAACAACAUGAGUGUUGUGUGAAUUUUCGUGAUUUUUCGGGGUUCAUUUGGACAGCUUUAUGCAUUAACUGAGUUUUCUAUGCAUUUAUGUGCAUAAUUCAAAUUGAACUACAUGCACAUGCUCCAGUGCAUAUAAAUUGGUUGAAAAAUAAAAUCUGUGUCCUUGGGUGCAUGCCUACGUCCCAUGCAAGAAAUGAGAAUGAAUUUCAAACACUAGGGCACCGUUGAUUGCCGGCAAAACAUUGAGAUGCCUGGUUUUUAAAUUCUAGUAAAUCCAAAACUCGUCUGAAAUUCAUGAAACUUGGAAUGCUAUCAUGGAGCGGCAUCAACAUGCCGUGGUACAAAUUUUGUCCCAUUUGGGACAGGUUUGGGUAUAUGCUUCUCACAAACCGGAGCUUCUCACAACAAACAUGAUGGUUUUCGGUAGGGAACGUCCCACCUUUGGGGACGAAAUGAUAUCCAUUGCUUCUUAUUGCUUUCAUGUUUUCUCGUGUCAACAUAGAACAACAGGAGUGUUGUGUGAAUUUUUGUGAUUUUUCGGGGUUCGUUUGGACAUUUUUUUGCAUUAACUGAGUUUUCAAUGCAUUUAUGUGCAUAAUACAAAUUUGAACAAAUGCACAUGCUCCAGUGCAUAUAAAUUGGUUGAAAAAUCAAAUCUGUGUCCUUGGGUGCAUGCUUAGGUCCCAUGCAAGAAAUAGGAAUGAAUUUCAAACACCAAGGCACCGUUGAUUGUCGGCAAAACAUUGAGAUGCCUGGUUUUUAAAUUCGAGUAAAUCCAAAACUCGUCUGAAAUUCAUGAAACUUGGCAUGCUAUCAUGGAGCGGCAUCAACAUGCCGUGGUACAAAUUUUGUCCCAUUUGGGGCAGGUUUGGGUAUAAGCUUCUCACAAAAUGGAGCUUCUCACAAGAAGCGUGAUGGUUUUCGGUAAGGAACUUCCCACCUUUGGGGACAAAACGAUAUCCAUUGCCUCUUAUUGCUUACAAAUUUUUUUCUCGUGUAAAUAUAGAACAACAGGAAUGUUGUGUGAAUUUUUGUGAUUUUUCGGGGUUCGUUUGGACAUUUUUAUGCAUUAACUGAGUUUUCAAUGCAUUUAUGUGCAUAAUUCAAAUUUGAACUGCAUGCACAUUCUCAAGUGCAUAUAAAUUGGUUGAAAAAUCAAAUCUGUGUCCUUCGGUGCAUGCUUAGGUCCUAUGCAAGAAAUGGGAAUGAAUUUCAAACACCAGGGCACCGUUGAUUGCCGGCAAAACAUUGAGAUGCCUGGUUUGUAAAUUCUAGUAAUUGCAAAACUCGUCUGAAAUUCAUGAAACUUGGCAUGCUAUCAUGGAGUGGCAUCAACAUGCCGUGGUACAAAUUUUGUCCCAUUUGGGGCAGGUUUGGGUAUAAGCUUCUCACAAACCGGAGCUUCUCACAAACCGGAGCUUCUCACAACAAGCGUGAUGGUUUUCGGUAGGGAACGUCCCACCUUUGGGGACGAAACGAUAUCCAUUUCCUCUGAUUGUUUUCAAAAAAAUUCUCGUGUCAACAUAGAACAACAAGAGUGUUGUGUGAAUUUUCGGGAUUUUUUGGGGUUCGUUUGGACAGUUUUAUGCAUUAACUGAGUUUUCUAUGCAUUUAUGUGCAUAAUUCAAAUUGAACUACAUGCACAUGCUCCAGUGCAUAUAAAUUGGUUGAAAAAUCAAAUCCGUAUCCUUGGGUGCAUGCUUAGGUCCCAUGCAAGAAAUGGGAAAGAAUUUCAAACACCAGGGCACCGUUGAUUGCCGGCAAAACAUUGAGAUGCCUGGUUUGUAAAUUCAAGUAAAUCCAAAAUUCCGUUAACCAUUCACGUGACGCCACGUGUCUUGGUUUUAAUGGCUGCAGGAGGUGCCGUGCGGACAGCUGCUUGACCUUGACUGAACGGGAGGCGUGCGAGCUCCGUCCGGUGCGUAGGCUGACCGAGAGGCGUGUAAGCUGUCCUCGAGUGCGCAGGCUCACCGGGAAGCGUGCGAGCUGUACGCUGCGCAGACUCACUGGGAAGCGAGACCUUUGACUUCCAUGGCCGCCCGCCUUGCUCGCAUCCUCUCCAUUAAUGGCUCCCAAGCCGCAGUUUAAUUCGCUUUUUAAAUAUAAAACACUCAUCGCAAACGUUUUAGUUAGAACACUCGUAUGCAAACAUGCAGCUUCCUCAGGAAGCCAAGAGAAAAUGUGCCGAGCAGGAUUUCUGCAGCUCUUGAUUGCAAACGAUUUAGAUAGAACACCCGUAUGCAAAGUGAGAGCAGCGCAGGAUUUGUGCAUCCAUUCAACGCAAACGGUUGUUCUGGAUGACCCGUGUGCAACCACGUACAAACAAUUUGGUAAGAUUUGCAUCUGUAUAUUGGGUAUGUUGCCAUUUGUCAAACCGGAAAGAUUUACAUUUGUUGAUCUAGUAACGUUGCCAUUUGUCUCCUUGUAACACUGCGAUUUGUCAAAAUAUGCAGCUAGAAAUCAUUAGCACUAUGUAAUUUUUGCAACUAAAAUUCAGUAAUUAAGCAUAGAUUUCAUUCAUAGAUUAAGCAGUCGUUCUUAAUUUAUACAAACAGUUCAACUCGACAGCUGAACCGACCAAACUUCUCCCCAAUUGUUGCCAACCACGUACUGAAAUAGCUAGUUCAACUAUAUAUACUAGCUAAUUUUAAGUACGUUGUACAGUUCGACCACACAUCUAUAGUCAGAUGAACUUAACAAAAUAGCCCCUAAAUACUAUUACUACCACGGAGGGGCUUUGUGCUACUUCCGGCAGCCUCUCCUCUGCCGAGCGUGCUCAGUAAGAUUCUAAGGAGGAGGAGGAGCCUACCGACGAGCUGGACAAAUGCAAUACGGUGCCUGCCGCUGCUGCACGUUCAGCGAUGCUCGCCAGCUCGAACGCCCACUGCCGCUCCAGACGAUCCCUCUCGAAGCGGCCGGACUGCUCGUAGAUCUCCUGAUUCCUUGCCUCUGCGUCGGCGUGUGCUGCGGCCACGGCUGCGGUAAGGCUCUUUGCGUGCUCGACGAGCCGCUCCUCCUCCUCCCGCAGGAACUCGAUGUAGCGCGCAAGGUCGCUGAUGCACGUGCGAGCCUCCACCUCUGCCUCCCUCCUUCGGGCGGCGGUGGCGGAGUGGGUGAUGAUCCCGGCGGUCGACGGUGGGCUGGCGGCCACGACCAUCACCUCCCGCCUUCGGGCCGCGGUGGCGGAGCGGGUGAUGGCCACGGUGGCCGGUAGUGGGGUGGCGGCCACGACGGCCACCUCCCGCCUUCGGGCUGCGGCAGCGGAUUGGGAGAUGGCCCUGGCUAUCGACGGUGGUGUGGCGGCAACGGCGGCCGGCAACAGCUGCCGACGGGCAGCGGCGGCGGAGCGUGUGGUGGGUGUUCCGCGCACACCCAACAGGGACGCCACGCGCACUACACUACGCCGGGGACUGCGUCGCCGCCGCGGUGUAGCCUCCCAGCUGGAGCUGUCCUCUGAUGACGACAGAGUGGCUGAGCGACGACGAUGGACCGGUGCCAUUGGCGAUUAUGGGAGAAGCAGACGAGAUAAGCUACAGGGAGCGAGGGGAAAAUGCGACGCAGGACUCGCCGGCCGUCAGGGUUUUUAUAGCAGGCCGGUAAGCAUUGGGAUUUUGGGGGAUUUCACCGAGUCGGGCGGGAAGCUUGCGCGGGAACCUGCGAGGUUGCGUGGGAACGGGCUCACUGAUGAUUCAUUGGCGCCACCGUUUGGCUAAAAGAACGCCCCCGCGCGCUGCGCAAGAUUGCGCUGUAAGCCGUCUGCGGCAGCGGGGUGACAAGACGUGCGAGAGGAGGACGAGAGGACACGUACACAUACAGUUAAUAAAAAAAAAUGUUUGCAAUUUAAUUACCAACUAUACGCCUGUCCUGGUUUAUAAGUAGGAUUUAACUAAUAAAAUACGAAUGCAUGUCGCCAUAGAUUAUAUCGUUGGAGUCGUAUUUGAACAUAGUUUCUAGCUAUACAAUUUUUGUAACAUGCAUUAACACUUUUUUGGUUAAAUUUAAGUUAUACACCAGCACACAUUUGCCCGCAACACACACGGCUUAUAACAUCACAAACAGCUCUGAUGGAUCAACUGUCUGCCAUGUAUCACACACGCAACUCUAAUCUGAUUCGUGCUUGAUGUCUCCGACAUCGCUCACACAGUUCGUCUUAUUUGCCACGUAUCACUGUGCCGUCCUCUGCUCGCGUCCCUCGGCAAGCUCUGCUCGCCGUUAGGCACCACAACGCGCUGUGCUCGCCGUUAGGCACCGCGACACGCUCUGUCGCGUCCGUUGGCACGCUCUGCUCGCGUCCGUCGGCGCGCUCGGCUUGUGGAUAGCUUUUCCUUGAGGCGGCCACGGAGCACUCUGCUCGCGUCCCUCCGCUCUUGCUCUGCCAGUGGUGGGGCGUGCACACGAUCACGUCAGGGGCCCCAUAUGCAUGCGGUUGCGCCGCGCGCAUUGCCACGCGAUGCAGUUACCUGCGGCACAAUGGAGUUACGCGCUGCAAAUUAGAACUGCCAUCAGGGCCUGCCGAUAUUCCUGGCCGUCCGGCUUCCCCUUUAAUUCCCGCGGCCAUUAUAACCUUAGUCUCUUCAACCUUUCGAUCGCGCCCCACAACACAACAAGCACACCCACGACGACACAUAGAGAGGGGAUGGCCGGCGGCGCUCCAAUGGAGUUCGGCGAGCAUAGAGUGGAGACCCACGCGAGGGAGACAGAUCUCUCGGUGGUGUACACCAUCGACCCGGCCGUGGUGGACGACUACAUCAACAGCGUUGAGCAGUUGCUUGCUGGAGACAAGUACAAGGUGGUCGGCAUCGACCUUCGGUACACCGCCGGUCGUCUCGGCAUAGACCAGAAGGUUGCUGUCGCCCAGUUGUGCGUGCGCCAUCAUGUCCUCAUCUACCACUACUUCAUGGCCACAGAGCCUUGCGACCGUUUCAACAGGUUUGUCAACAGCACUGACUACAAGUUCGCCACGGUGGAUACCACCAACGAUUUUAAAAGCGCUCAGUGUUACGGGCUUGGCCUGCAAGAACCUUGUCAAAAUCCGUGACCACUACACGGUCUGGGGCAGCACGAAGAAGGACUCCCUGGUCGAACUCGCCUCGGCCAUCAUCGACCCCUACUACAAAAAGAUGAAGCAAGAUGCCCAGAGAACAAGUCCCGUAUCCUAGCAUGGGGCCUGGAUGCGGCAACUGGAUGAACUUCACCUCAGGUCUGAGGCCAAGAGCAUGUACACAUGCUACGAGAUGCACAGGCGGAUCGUUGACAUGAGGAAGUGCCUCGUUACCCAAAUCGACGAGCCCGGAUCGAGCCACAAGCAGAGCAAGCGUCACAAGAAGUAGAUGACGAUCAGAUGAUCGUUUAUGCUAGUUAAUCAUGCAUGUAAUAUAUAGUUUACUUUAUUGGUGUGUGGAAAUGUCAUGUGUGUAGUAGCCACCUAUGUAGUUAUGCAUGUAAUAGUUUACUUUGGUGUGUGCAAAUGCCAUGGUUGUAGUAGCCACCUAUGUAAGUGGAUGUUUAAUUUGGUUAUGCAAGCAUGUCCUUGUAACUGUGUAUAUAUAUAUGUUGUUGUUCUGUAUGCAAUCCCAUCGCACAACACACACGUCUUAUUAGCAGCAACCGUCUGUGUUAUCAUCGGUCUUCACACACAUUUCUGAUUACAGACCUGUUUGCCGCGUAUCACACACAUCUUGUUAAGUUGAACCGUUUCUGUUCUCAUGUCUGAACGCAAACAGUUCAUCCGAGUGAACCGCAUGCCAUAUAUCGCACACACCUUGAUCUGGCUGACCGUUUCUUUUGUGUUUCCUAAUCACAACCAGUUCAUCCGAGUGAACCGUAUGCUGUGUAUCGCACACGCCUUCAUCUGGAUGCCGUUUCUUUUGUUCCUCCUCAUCGCAAACAGUUAAUUGAACUGAACCGUAUGCCCUUCAUCGCACGCGCAACUAAAACCUGAACCGUGUUUGAUGCAUCCAUAAUCGCAAACGUUUUAUACAUUUCUGACGGUUUUCAUACAACACCGUUUGCGAUUAUUGCAUCGCACACAGUUUCUCGAAGGGUCUCUGAUCGUAGUGUCGCGUUAACAGCAUCCUGCAGUAGUGCUAGAUAUUUAAAUGAGCAUACAUAAAGCUUGCAAAUAGAAAGGAGUACAAAAGGGUACAACACAAAACGACUAAUUUUGCACUUGUCACGGGUGCUCAUAUUUUUUUGCCCAAAGAUGCAUACGGGUGCUCAUAUUUUGUGCUGACUUAGUAUAAUCAGCAUCUCAGAGGUGAUAACUGUUGGGGAUCGUUGCAGAAUUUUAAAAUUUUCUACGCAUCACCAAGAUCCAUCUAUGGAGUUUACUAGCAACGAGGGGAAAGGAGUGCAUCUACAUACCCUUGUAGAUCGCGAGCGGAAGCGUUCAAGUGAACGGGGUUGAUGGAGUCGUACUCGUCGUGAUCCAAAUCACCGAUGACCGAGCGCCGAACGCACGGCACCUCCGCGUUCAACACACGUACGGAGAAGCGACAUCUCCUCCUGCUUGAUCCAGCAAGGGGGAAGGAGAGGUUGAUGGAGAUCCAGCAGCACGACGGCGUGGUGGUGGAAGUAGCGGGGAUCCCGGCAGGGCUUCGCCAAGCGCAAGCAGGAGGGAGAGGUGUCACGGGGGAAGAGGGAGGCGCCAGGGACUAGGGUACCGCAGCCCUNNNNNNNNNNNNNNNNNNNNNNNNNNNNNNNNNNNNNNNNNNNNNNNNNNNNNNNNNNNNNNNNNNNNNNNNNNNNNNNNNNNNNNNNNNNNNNNNNNNNNNNNNNNNNNNNNNNNNNNNNNNNNNNNNNNNNNNNNNNNNNNNNNNNNNNNNNNNNNNNNNNNNNNNNNNNNNNNNNNNNNNNNNNNNNNNNNNNNNNNNNNNNNNNNNNNNNNNNNNNNNNNNNNNNNACCCCCAGGGUUUCCAACCCUAGGCGCAGGGGGAGGCCCAUGGGGGCGCACCAGCCCACUUGGGGCUGGUUCCUCUCCCACUUCAGCCCAUGGGGCCUUCCGGGAUAGGUGGCCCCACCCGGUGGACCCCCGGGACCCUUCCGGUGGUCCCGGUACAAUACCGAUAACCCCCGAAACUUUCCCGGUGGCCGAAACUCGACUUCCUAUAUAUAAUUCUUCACCUCCGGACCAUUCCGGAACUCCUCAUGACGUCCGGGAUAUCAUCUGGGACUCCGAACAACUUUCGGGUUUCCGCAUACUAAUAUCUCUACAACCUAGCGUCACCUAACCUUAAGUGUGUAGACCCUACGGGUUCGGCAGACAUGCAGACAUGACCGAGACGCCUCUCCGGUCAAUAACCAACAGCGAGAUCUGGAUACCCAUGUUGGCUCCCACAUGUUCCACGAUGAUCUCAUUGGAUGAACCACGAUGUCGAGGAUUCAAUCAAUCCCGUAUACAAUUCCCUUUGUCAAUCGGUACGUUACUUGCCCGAGAUUCGAUCGUCGGUAUCCCAAUACCUUGUUCAAUCUCGUUACCGGUAAGUCACUUUACUCGUACCGCAAUGCAUGAUCCCGUGGCUAACUCCUUAGUCACAUUGAGAUCAUUAUGAUGAUGCAUUACCAAGUGGGCCCAGAGAUACCUCUCCGUCAUACGGAGUGACAAAUCCCAGUCUCGAUCCGUGCCAACCCAACAGACACUUUCGUAGAUACCCGUAGUGUACCUUUAUAGUCACCCAGUUACGUUGUGACAUUUGGUACACCCAAAGCACUCCUACGGUAUCCGGGAGUUGCACGAUCUCAUGGUCUAAGGAAAUGAUACUUGACAUUGGAAAAGCUCUAGCAAACGAACUACACGAUCUUUUGUGCUAUGCUUAGGAUUGGGUCUUGUCCAUCACAUCAUUCUCCUAAUGAUGUGAUCCCGUUAUCAAUGACAUCCAAUGUCCAUAGUCAGGAAACCAUGACUAUCUGUUGAUCAACGAGCUAGUCAACUAGAGGCUUACUAGGGACACGUUGUGGUCUAUGUAUUCACACAUGUAUUACGAUUUCCGGAUAACACAAUUAUAGCAUGAACAAUAGACAAUUAUCAUGAACAAGGAAAUAUAAUAAUAACCAUUUAUUAUUGCCUCUAGGGCAUAUUUCCAACAGUCUCCCACUUGCACUAGAGUCAAUAAUCUAGUUACAUUGUGAUGAAUCGAACACCCAUACAGUUUUGGUGUUGAUCAUGUUUUGCUCUAGGGAGAGGUUUAGUCAACGGAUCUGCUACAUUCAGUUCCGUAUGUGCUUUACAAAUAUCCAUGUCUCCAUUUUGAACACUUUCACGAAUGGAAUUGAAGCAACGCUUGAUAUGCCUGGUCUUCCUGUGAAACCUAGGCUCCUUGGCAAGGGCAAUAGCUCCAGUGUUGUCACAGAAGAGAGUCAUCGGGCCCGACGCAUUGGGAAUCACCCCUAGGUCGGUAAUGAACUCCUUCAUCCAGAUUGCUUCUUGCGCUGCCUCUGAGGCUGCCAUGUACUCCGCUUCACAUGUAGAUCCCGCCACGACGCUUUGCUUGCAACUGCACCAACUUACUGCCCCUCCAUUCAAAAUAUACACGUAUCCGGUUUGUGAGUUCGAGUCAUCCAGAUCUGCGUUGAAGCUAGCGUCGACGUAACCCUUUACGACGAGCUCUUCGUCACCUCCAUAAACAAGAAAUAUAUCCUUAGUCCUUUUCAGGUACUUCAGGAUAUUCUUGACCGCUGUCCAGUGUUCCAUGCCGGGAUUACUUUGGUACCUUCCUACCAAACUUACGGCAAGGUUUACAUCAGGUCUGGUACACAACAUGGCAUACAUAAUAGACCCUAUGGCCAAGGCAUAGGAGAUGACACUCAUCUUUUCUCUAUCCUAUGCCGUGGUCGGGCAUUGAGCCGUGCUCAAUUGCACACCUUGCAAUACAGGCAAGAACCCCUUCUUGGACUGAUCCAUAUUGAACUUCUUCAAUAUCUUGUCAAGGUACGUACUCUGUGAAAGACCAAUGAGGCGUCUUGAUCUAUCUCUAUAGAUCUUGAUGCCUAAUAUAUAAGCAGCUUCUCCAAGGUCCUUCAUUGAAAAACACUUAUUCAAGUAGGCCUUUAUACUUUCCAAGAAUUCUAUAUCAUUUCCCAUCAAUAGUAUGUCAUCCACAUAUAAUAAGAGAAAUGCUACAGAGCUCCCAUUCACUUUCUUGUAAACACAGACUUCUCCAUAAGUCUGUGUAAACACAAAUGCUUUGAUCAUCUCAUCAAAUCGAAUGUUCCAACUCCGAGAUGCUUGCACCAGCCCAUAGAUGGAGCGCUGGAGCUUGCAUACCUUGUUAGCAUUCUUAGGAUCGACAAAACCUUCCGGCUGCAUCAUAUACAAUUCUUCCUUAAGAAAGCCGUUAAGGAAUGCCGUUUUGACGUCCAUUUGCCAUAUCUCAUAAUCAUAGAAUGCGGCAAUUGCUAACAUAAUUCGGACGGACUUCAGCUUCGCUAUGGGUGAGAAAGUCUCAUCGUAGUCAACCCCUUGAACUUGUCGAUAACCCUUAGCGACAAGUCGAGCCUUAUAGAUGGUCACAUUACCAUCUGCGGCUGUCUUCUUCAUAAAGAUCCAUUUAUUUUCUAUGGCUCGCCGAUCAUCGGGCAAGUCAGUCAAAGUCCAUACUUCGUUUUCAUACAUGGAUCCUAUCUCGGAUUUCAUGGCUUCUAGCCAUUUGUCAGAAUCCGGGCCCGUCAUCGCUUCUUCAUAGUUCGAAGGUUCACCGUUGUCUAACAACAUGAUUUCUAGGACAGGGUUGCCGUACCACUCUGGUGCGGAACGUGUCCUUGUGGACCUACGAAGUUCAGCAGUAACUUGAUCCGAAGCUUCAUGAUCAUCAUCAUUAACUUCCUCCCCAGUUGGUGUAGGCACCACAGGAACAUCUUCCCGCGCUGCGCUACUUUCCGGUUCGGAAGGGGUGACUAUCACCUCAUCAAGUUCCACUUUCCUCCCACUUAAUUCUUUCGAGAGAAACUCUUUCUCCAGAAAGGACCCGUUCUUGGCAACAAAGAUCUUGCCUUCGGAUCUGAGGUAGAAGGUAUACCCAAUGGUUUCCUUAGGGUAUCCUAUGAAGACGCAUUUUUCCGAUUUGGGUUCGAGCUUUUUAGGUUGAAGUUUCUUGACAUAAGCAUCGCAUCCCCAAACUUUUAGAAACGACAACUUAGGUUUCUUCCCAAACCAUAAUUCAUACGGUGUCGUCUCAACGGAUUUCGAUGGAGCCCUAUUUAAAGUGAAUGCGGCAGUCUCUAAAGCAUAGCCCGAAAAUGAGAGCGGUAAAUCGGUAAGAGACAUCAUAGAUCGCACCAUAUCCAAUAGAGUGCGAUUACGACGUUCGGACACACCAUUUCGCUGAGGUGUUCCAGGCGGCGUGAGUUGUGAAACGAUUCCACAUUUCCUUAAGUGUGUGCCAAAUUCGUGACUUAAAUAUUCCCCUCCACGAUCUGAUCGCAGGAACUUUAUUUUCCUGUCACGUUGAUUCUCAACCUCACUCUGAAAUUCCUUGAACUUUUCAAAGGUUUCAGACUUGUGUUUCAUUAGGUAGACAUACCCAUAUCUACUUAAAUCAUCAGUGAGAGUGAGAACAUAACGAUAGCCACCGCGAGCCUCAACACUCAUUGGACCGCACACAUCAGUAUGUAUGAUUUCCAAUAAGUUGGUUGCUCGCUCCACUGUUCCGGAGAACGGAGUCUUGGUCAUCUUACCCAUGAGGCAUGGUUCGCAUGUGUCAAAUGAUUCGUAAUCAAGAGACUCCAAAAGUCCAUCUGCAUGGAGCUUCUUCAUGCUUUUGACACCAAUGUGACCAAGGCGGCAGUGCCACAAGUAUGUGGGACUAUCGUUAUCAACUUUACAUCUUUUGGUAUUCACACUAUGAAUAUGUGUAACAUCACGUUCGAGAUUCAUCAAGAAUAAACCAUUGACCAGCGGGGCAUGACCAUAAAACAUAUCUCUCAUAUAAAUAGAACAACCAUUAUUCUCGGAUUUAAAUGAGUAGCCAUCUCGAAUUAAACGAGAUCCAGAUACAAUGUUCAUGCUCAAAGCUGGCACUAAAUAACAAUUAUUGAGGUUUAAAACUAAUCCCGUAGGUAAAUGUAGAGGCAGCGUGCCGACGGCGAUCACAUCGACCUUGGAACCAUUCCCGACGCGCAUCGUCACCUCGUCCUUCGCCAGUCUCCGCUUAUUCCGCAGCUCCUGUUUUGAGUUACAAAUAUGAGCAACCGCACCGGUAUCAAAUACCCAGGAGCUACUACGAGUACUGGUAAGGUACACAUCAAUUACAUGUAUAUCACAUAUACCUUUGGUGUUGCCGGCCUUCUUGUCCGCUAAGUAUUUGGGGCAGUUCUGCUUCCAGUGACCACUUCCCUUGCAAUAAAAGCACUCAGUCUCAGGCUUGGGUCCAUUCUUUGACUUCUUCCCGGCAACUGGCUUACCGGGCGCGGCAACUCCCUUGCCGUCCUUCUUGAAGUUCUUCUUACCCUUGCCUUUCUUGAACUUAGUGGUUUUAUUCACCAUCAACACUUGAUGUUCCUUUUUGAUCUCCACCUCCGCUGAUUUCAGCAUUGAAUAUACCUCAGGAAUGGUCUUUUCCAUCCCCUGCAUAUUGAAGUUCAUCACAAAGCUCUUGUAGCUUGGUGGAAGCGACUGAAGGAUUCUGUCAAUGACCGCGUCAUCCGGGAGAUUAACUCCCAGCUGAGACAAGCGGUUGUGUAACCCAGACAUUCUGAGUAUGUGCUCACUGACAGAACUAUUUUCCUCCAUUUUACAACUGAAGAACUUGUCGGAGACUUCAUAUCUCUCGACCCGGGCAUGAGCUUGGAAAACCAUUUUCAGCUCUUCGAACAUCUCAUAUGCUCCAUGUUUCUCAAAAUGCUUUUGGAGCCCCGGUUCUAAGCUGUAAAGCAUGCCGCACUGAACGAGGGAGUAAUCAUCAGCACGUGAUUGCCAAGCGUUCAUAACGUCUUGGUUCUCUAGGAUGGGUUCUUCACCUAGCGGUGCUUCUAGGACAUAAUCUUUCUUGGCAGCUAUGAGGAUGAUCCUCAGGUUCCGGACCCAGUCCGUAUAGUUGCUGCCAUCAUCUUUCAGCUUGAUUUUCUUUAGGAACGCGUUGAAGUUGAGGACAACGUGGGCCAUUUGAUCUACAAGACAUAUUGUAAAGAUUUUAGACUAAGUUCAUGAUAAUUAAGUUCAUCUAAUCAAAUUAUUCAAUGAACUCCCACUCAGAUAGACAUCCCUCUAGUCAUCUAAGUGAAACAUGAUCCGAGUUAACUAGGCCGUGUCCGAUCAUCACGUGAGACGGACUAGUCAAGAUUGGUGAACAUCUCCAUGUUGAUCGUAUCUUCUAUACGACUCAUGCUCGACCUUUCGGUCUUCCGUGUUCCGAGGCCAUGUCUGUACAUGCUAGGCUCGUCAAGUCAACCUAAGUGUAUCGCGUGUGUUCCGAGGCCAUGUCUGUACAUGCUAGGCUCGUCAACACCCGUUGUAUGCGAACGUUAGAAUCUAUCACACCCGAUCAUCACGUGAUGCUUCGAAACAACGAACCUUCGAACACUUUCUUGAAAUUAUUAUAAGGGAUCAUCUUACUUACUACCGUCGUUCUAAGAAAAUAAGAUGCAAAACAUGAUAAACAUCACAUGUAAUCAAAUAGUGACAUGAUAUGGCCAAUAUCAUUUUUCUCCUUUGAUCUCCAUCCUCGGGGCGCCAUGAUCAUCUUCUUCACCGGCAUGACACCAUGAUCUCCAUCAUCGUGUCUUCAUGAAGUUGUCACGCCAACGAUUACUUCUACUUCUAUGGCUAACGCGUUUAGCAAUAAAGUAAAGUAAUUUACAUGGCGUUAUUCAAUGACACGCAGGUCAUACAAAAAAAAUAAAGACAACUCCUAUGGAUCCUGCCGGUUGUCAUACUCAUCGACAUGCAAGUCGUGAUUCCUAUUACAAGAAUAUGAUCAAUCUCAUACAUCACAUAUAUCUCAUUCAUCACAUCCUUUUGGCCAUAUCACAUCACAAGGCAAAUGCUGCAAAAACAAGUUAGACGUCCUCUAAUUGUUGUUGCAAGUUUUUACGUGGCUUCUAGCAAGAACGUUUCUUACCUACGUAAAACCACCACGUGAUAUGCCAAUUUCUAUUUACCCUUCAUAAGGACCCUUUUCAUCGAAUCCGUUCCGACUAAAGUGGGAGAGACAGACACCCGCUAGCCACCUUAUGCAACUAGUGCAUGUCAGUCGGUGGAACCUGUCUCACGUAAGCGUACGUGUAAGGUCGUUCCGGGCCGCUUCAUCCCACAAUACCGCCGAAACAAGAUAAGACUAGUAGUGGCAAGAAAAAUUGACAACAUCUAAGCCCACAACUGCUUUGUGUUCUACUCGUGCAUAGUAACUACGCAUAGGCCUGGCUCAUGAUGCCACUGUUGGGGAUCGUUGCAGAAUUUUAAAAUUGUCUACGCAUCACCAAGAUCCAUCUAUGGAGUUUACUAGCAACGAGGGGAAAGGAGUGCAUCUACAUACCCUUGUAGAUCGCGAGCGGAAGCGUUCAAGUGAACGGGGUUGAUGGAGUCGUACUCGUCGUGAUCCAAAUCACCGAUGACCGAGCGCCGAACGGACGGCACCUCCGCGUUCAACACACGUACGGAGCAGCGUCGUCUCGUCCUUCUUGAUCUAGCAAGGGGGAAGGAGAGAUUGAUGGAGAUCCAGCAGCACGACGGUGUGGUGGUGGAAGUAGCGGGGAUCCCGGCAGGGCUUCGCCAAGCGCAAGCGGGAGGGAGAGGUGUCACGGGAGGGAGAGGGAGGCGCCAGGGGCUAGGGUACAGCAGCCCUCCCUCCCCCCUUUAUAUAGGCCCCCUGGGGGGCGCCAGCCCUGGGAUCCCAUCUAUGGGGGGGGGGGCGGCGGCCAAGGGGGGGAACUUCCCCCCCAAGUCAGGUGGGGCGCCCCCACCCCCAGGGUUUCCAACCCUAGGUGCAGGGGGAGGCCCAUGGGGGCGCACCAGCCCACUAGGGGCUGGUUCCCCUCCCACUUCAGCCCAUGGGGCCCUCCGGGAUAGGUGGCCCCACCCGGUGGACCCCCGGGACCCUUCCGGUGGUCCCGGUACAAUACCGAUAACCCCCGAAACUUUCCCGGUGGCCGAAACUGGACUUCCUAUAUAUAAUUCUUCACCUCCGGACCAUUCCGGAACUCCUCGUGACGUCCGGGAUCUCAUCCGGGACUCCGAACAACUUUCGGGUUUCCGCAUACUAAUAUCUCUACAACCCUAGCGUCACCGAACCUUAAGUGUGUAGACCCUACGGGUUCGGGAGACAUGCAGACAUGACCGAGACGCCUCUCCGGUCAAUAACCAACAGCGGGAUCUGGAUACCCAUGUUGGCUCCCACAUGUUCCACGAUGAUCUCAUCGGAUGAACCAUGAUGUCGAGGAUUCAAUCAAUCCCGUAUACAAUUCCCUUUGUCAAUCGGUACGUUACUUGCCCGAGAUUCGAUCGUCGGUAUCCCAAUACCUUGUUCAAUCUCGUUACCGGUAAGUCACUUUACUCGUACCGCAAUGCAUGAUCCCGUGGCUAACUCCUUAGUCACAUUGAGCUCAUUAUGAUGAUGCAUUACCGAGUGGGCCCAGAGAUACCUCUCCGUCAUACGGACUGACAAAUCCCAGUCUCGAUCCGUGCCAACCCAACAGACACUUUCGUAGAUACCCGUAGUGUACCUUUAUAGUCACCCAGUGUCACGACCGGAUUUUUGGGAUAAUAAUUUCCCAGAAAAAAAGGCCUUUGUGCUCACCAGCCCCAGGAUUACUGUUAGCUGAUGAGGCACCAACUUGAUACAAGAAUUCCAAGCAAGGUACAAAAAUAUGUAGUACAAGACCAUUGAGGCCUAGGAGUACAACACUUGGUUUCUAAUGGUUGAGGGCGGAAGCGGUUGGUACAUCUACGUCUAUGGGACUCCAUUUCCCACAAGAACAGCUGACCAGGAUAACUCCUAUCUUCGCAAGGCUGCUAUCGUCAACACGUAGGCUCCGAGGUUGUCAUCGCGAUGCUUAUCUCCAAGCAAGGGAUCUGGCCAAGACAAUAGCCAGGGACAAGCCAGUGAGUACGUUUGAAUGUACUCGCAAACAUUAAGAACACGGGUAUAAUAUAAUACGGGACAAUCAUACUCCGAAAUAAUUAUGAUCACACGUCUGCCGCGAAAGUCUGCGUUGUUCGCAUGCAGAGAUAAUAUGAACAUACAGUACGUGGGUGAGUACUAUGAAAGUACUCGCAAGAUAGCUCGAACAUAAGAUAUAACAAAAGUAAACACGAUGCAUGCAGAGAUAAUAUGAACAUACAGUACGUGGGUGAGUACUAUGAAAGUACUCGCAAGAUAGCUCGAACAUAAGAUAUAACAAAAGUAAACACGAUGCAUGAGAAAAGAUUUAACAAGUGCAAUCAGACAUAGAGGUAAUGAUGCAUGGGAAACAAAAGAGAAGUCGGGCGGUAGUCCUCCCGAAGUCCAAAAAUAAAAUACUGGGUGCCAAACGAGGGUCUAAAUGACUCCUCGAGAGGAAACUGCAGGGAUAAUAAUGCCGCAGUCGGGCGUCGGGGCGACACCACAUAAAGGGCUCAUAAGAGAUAAAUAAACAACAAGCAUGCCGCAGUCGGGCGUCUGAGCGACACCACAUAAAGGGCUUAUAAAAGAAUAAUCACAGUGAGUAACCAGGAGAUAGAACCAUCCCAGGGGUACUCAAUAAAAUACAUAAUGUAAAUGGUUAGUCCACAAUAAUAACAAAAUUUAAGUAUGAUCCUCAGAUGCCACAGGACAUAAACACAAAAUCUAGUUUAGCCGUUUCUCCAUCCGAAGACCGUCACUGAGUUCUAGCUAAUUCGUUCUCCAUCCAAAUACCGUUACUAUGAUCCAGUUAGCCGUGUCUCCAUCCGAAAACCGUUACUAAGUUUAACUCAGACUGUGGUCCUUACUCAAGAUCAUGGCUAUCCAACAGGAUAUAUCCUCUGCAGAGGGGGUACUGUUUUCCCACGAGUAACGGAUUUACUUAGUCCAUCGGGACUAACUCCGCCUACGGCCUUUUAAUUGAAAACACGCCUGACCUGCACACACCAGCUUAACUCACCGAUGUCUGGAAUCACCCACGACACCUGCCAAGCAAAACUCUAAGUGGGGAGGCUACAACCUCGACGUACCAUGGGAUCAAAUUUCUAUAUGCGCGCUCUAAGGGGUGCCCCCCUCUCGGUCCCAACCGGAAACACCCAGGCCCCCGGACCAAGUGGCAUGCCUACCGGAGGCCUCCGGUAUCUUCCACUAUGGCCUCUCUGUACGGUGUGUGCUUUGGUAAGGGGUUGACAACUUACUGAACCAUACCCCGUCUGCGACAGGGACAAGUGGUGGUACCAACAAAUAGGGAAGCUACUGACCAAGACUCGACCUACGACCGACUCAGGUGGUCCAAGUAUCCUCCAACAAUAUUACCAUUAGUGGAAUAAAUCACCACUCAACAAGCCUCUCCAUGCCGUACCGGACAUACUCGUCUCGACGAGGGACUAGGGACAAGCUCGUGUCUACCCAAGACCACGACUUUCCCGGCUUCCUUAAGGUAUGCAUGAGGAGCUUACGAGAAUGAUCCAAAUCACUAGUGUAUCCACUGCUGACCACAAAAAUAUCUCCAAAAAGCACUCAUGCACGAGACUUUAUCGUUACAUAAAGAUAACAUAUAAUCCAAGCCAGAAGGUGUUGUAAUUGUAUCAAAACACCACAACAAAAUAUUAUGCCAGAGUUCAGAAAUGCUUGCCUUCAAGAGUAUGCAAAGAAUACACUUUUUUAAAAGCCUUCCCUUCUCUCCAAAAUUCCUAUUUGAGAAAUAUCCAAAUAACAAAUAUUACCAACACAGUACAAAAAGUUGUCUCAAAUAUUUUUGAAAUAAAUCUUAAAAUAAACUAGGUGGAAUUUGAGAGAGGUAGGAAAAAGAAUCAACUCAUUUGGAGUUUAUUUUAAAAGUUAUAGCUGGUCAAAGUCUGGUCAAACUCUGUUUUUAAAUAAAACCAGAAAAAGGAAAACGCUUCGAGGGGAAUACGCUUUCGGGGUAGGGGAGACGUACUCCGUGGGUACACGCUUUCACUUAAACGGAGGAGAUGGCGCGCGGGUCACGGACAGUGGGUCCAGAGGGCCCACUGGUCAGGUUUGACCGUUCCUCCCCCUCCCUCCUCUUCCCUGCCCGACGGGGGCGGGACUCCGGCGAUCGCCGGCGACGAACGGCGGCUCCUCGAGGGCAUCUGAGGGCAGGGAUGGACUGGCCAGACCGAGGCGGUCCCCUUGGUGGUAGCUGGGUCGUCGGAGGUGGAAGGAAUCGCCGGCGGCGAGCUCCGCGACGGAGGGGGCUACGGUGGUGAAGUGGUUUUUGGGCUCCGGUGGUCUCCGAUCGAGGUUGGGUAGUUGGGCAGCUCCGCAAGGACGAGGGGAAGUUACUGGUGGCGUCGGUUGGGCGAAAGAGUGGCUGGCUGCGACGUAUUGCACCGGAGUUUGGCGGCGGUCGAACUGGUCGGAGUUGGGGAAGAUGGCCACUACGGGUCGAUCCACUGCUUGGGGAGCGCUAGGAGGAAAGUCUGAGGUCGCCUGGGGUCUUGAACGAGCUCGGGGCUCCCUUAAAUAGGUGCUCGAGGCUGGACCACGGCGGCUGGAUAAGAACGACGACGAGUCACCGUUUCUGUAGCUGCAGGGCGCCGUGGCGGCGACGAACGCGUGCCGACGAGCUUCGGGAUAAGAUCGAGCUAUUCACAGGGGCAGCUGGCGCGCUGGUGUGGUUUGGGCGGUGCCGAACAUGGCAGAGGCCGCUGCCGACGCCGGCGUGCCGCCAAGGGCGCUGCCAGCGGUGCUGCAGGGCGCCAGAGAUGGUGUGGAGAGGAGGCGAGCUAGUGCGUGGUUCAGCGAUGGAGCAGGGGCCAGGGACGGGUCGCGUCGAGUGUGGCAGUGCGGCGCGGCGGCUCAGUGCGCGCGCGUGCAAAACGUGCGCUCUGGGCGCGCCCAGAGCAUGCACGGAACCUGCUCGACGAAAUGCCAGGAUGGUCUAGAGCGCGAGGGUGGAGCUGGCAAUUAACAGGAUUAGGAUAGAGACAGCCAGGAGUUCAGUGGACAAGGUUGCUGGGUUAAUGGAGCAAGUUCAUAGUGCAAACAAAGAACUCAUGCCAAAACAGACUGUGCACACCAAGUGUUCGACAGAAUGCCAAAUGCACUUAGGCAACUCUUGGAGUGGCCAAAAUCUCCAGAUCAGGGUCUCUUUAGGUGCAGAAGAUGGUGGCAAGAUCAUAUGGGCAAAACCAGAAAGUUGUUAGUGCAAGUUUUGCAAAACUUCAGUUUUGGACAGAGAGAAAAAGGGUUUAUUGCAUGCACUUCAAAACCUCCAAUGAGUCCACUCUCCUGGACUUAAGGGUUUUGAAGGGAGGGCUACAAGUAGGAAAAAGGGUCAUGGGCACCAAAGCAAAAUAAAAUAGGGUUGCAGUUCAAAUCACCAAACUGGACCAGAAUGAAAAAGAGGUUGAUUCACUCAAUUUUCUCAAAGAACAUCACUGGGUUUUUGCAUGAAGAUGAAUUGUAUGCAUCCACUAACAUCUCCAAACACUUGGAAGAAUUUUUAAAGAAAUAUUUAAAUGGGUUGUAGUGCAAAAGUGCCUUCUGGACCAGAUUGGAAAAGUUGGUGUAGAGCUCAAAAUCUCCAAUGGCCAAAAGGUAUUUUAGCAUAAAAGUGAUGUGGAAACACCACAUGACAUCCCCAAAUUUUGGUGGAAAUUUUAAUUGCAUUUGUCAAAUGGUUGUAGUGCAAAACAGGCUCCAAAUGCAAAAGAAAUCAUUUUAAGAGAAUAAAGCUCUGAGAAAACAAAUCUUGCAAUUUAAAUCCACUGAUAAAUAAUUGUUUUAUUAAAGAGAGUAUUCAAGUCCAACAAUACUCUUUGAAGGUUUUUCCACUAGAGGCAAAAAUCCAAAAUCACAAAGGGUAAAUCUUGACAAAAUGGAAAAGUUUUAUUUCCUGGCAACAUUUUAAUAAACAAAACAAGGUCAAAAUUUUGGGUGUCACACCCAGUUACGUUGUGACGUUUGGUACACCCAAAGCACUCCUACGGUAUCCGGGAGUUGCACGAUCUCAUGGUCUAAGGAAAUGAUACUUGACAUUGGAAAAGCUCUAGCAAACGAACUACACGAUCUUUUGUGCUAUGCUUAGGAUUGGGUCUUGUCCAUCACAUCAUUCUCCUAAUGAUGUGAUCCCGUUAUCAAUGACAUCCAAUGUCCAUAGUCAGGAAACCAUGACUAUCUGUUGAUCAACGAGCUAGUCAACUAGAGGCUUACUAGGGACACGUUGUGGUCUAUGUAUUCACACAUGUAUUACGAUUUCCGGAUAACACAAUUAUAGCAUGAACAAUAGACAAUUAUCAUGAACAAGGAAAUAUAAUAAUAACCAUUUAUUAUUGCCUCUAGGGCAUAUUUCCAACAAUAACCAUACACAAAGCUCGGUUAUCACAAAGCUCGCAAAUACUUUCGUUGAUAGAGCAUCUAUUAUUUUAUGAAUACACAGAGCUUGCAAAAAAAUACAAUAAAGGUACAACACAAAACACAAGAAGAAAUAGAACAUUUUCACUAGACGAGCAGUAUUAUUUUGUGAAUAUGCAAAGCUUACAAAUAAAAGAGUAUAAGAAAGGCAACACAAAACGCAAAAAAGGCACAAAUAAGUAUGCUCCAAGGAGAGAGAUAUGGUAUGCUCAGCUCGGUCCAAACAAAGCAAAACAGAAUUAAACCCUUUUAGCCCAGACUCUAGCCAUGGAAGGUAAGGAGCCUCGAGAGUGCCUCGAGAUUGGCAAAUAGGCUGGAGGAUCCAUGAAAGACAAAGAGCAUUGAGACUACCUAGAGAUCAACAAGUAGACUGCACAUCAACAAGUAGGCUACAUAAGUUGCCAUCGAGAUUGCCUACAGAUCAAAGACAAAUGCCAUGAGGAAAGUGUCGGCGAAGUCAUACAUUGCACCCUAGAUGUCCAUGCCUUGAGAGGAAGCCUGAACCAACGUGACAUCCAAUAUCCCUAGAUCCAACGUGCAAACAAGACAACGCCUUCAAAAAAUAGAGUGAUGUGUCGCCAUCCUCUAUGUUCGGACCUAGGGUUCCCCCCUAUGCUUGAAGAGAGGCCCAGAUAAAUGACAUGGCAACACCUCCAAGAAGGGGAUGACAGUCGCGAGUGUCACCGAUGUCAGCAUCGGCAACCGAGUAAGGAUAUAUCUUUGGUAUGAGUCUAAGCAAUCUCAUAUCCAUAAAAAAGAUAGGAAAAAUAUCCAGAGACGAGGAAAUCACGUCGUUGUUCAGAACCGCCACCACAAGAAGGGGAGGUGCGCCUGUUGCCGCAAGGCUGCACUAGUGUUGGAAAUACGCCCUAGAGGCAAUAAUAAAGUGGUUAUUUUUAUAUUUCCUUGUUCAUCAUAAUCGUUUAUUAUCCAUGCUAUAAUUGUAUUGACCGGAAACUCAAAUACAUGUGUGGAUACAUAGAUAACAAAUUGUCCCUAGUAAGCCUCUAAAGGACUAGCUCGUUGAUCAAUGGCUAUGGUUUCCUAGUCAUAGACAUGAUUUGUCAUUUGAUAACGGGAUCAUAUCAUUAGGAGAAUGAUGUGAUGGACAAGACCCAAACUAUGAACGUAGCAUAUGAUCGUGUCAAGUUUAUUGCUAUCGUUUUCUGCAUGUCAAGUAUAUGUUCCAAUGACCAUGAGAUCGAACUCACUGACACCGGAGGAGUACCUUGUGAGUACCAAACGUCGCAACGUAACUGGGUGACUAUAAAGGAGCUCUACAGGUAUCUUCGAGGGUGUCUGUUGAGGUUGCAUGGAUCAAGACUGGGAUUUGUCACUCCGUAUGACGGAGAGGUAUCUCAGGGCCCACUCGGUAAUACAACAUCACAAUAAGCUUGCAAGCAAUGUGACUAAAGAGUUAGCCACGGGAUCUUGUAUUACGGAACGAGUAAAGAGACUUGUCAGUUACGAGAUGAACUAGGUAUGGAGAUACCGAAGAUCGAAUCUCGGGAAAGUAACAUACCAAUAGACAAAGGGAACUGCAUGAAGGAAAUAUGCCCUAGAGGCAAUAAUAAAGUUGUUAUUUUAUAUUUCCUUAUUCAUGAUAAAGGUCUAUUAUUCAUGCUAGAAUUGUAUUGAUCGGAAACCUAAAUACAUGUGUGAAUACAUAGGCAAACACCGUGUCCCUAGUGAGCCUCUACUUGACUAGCUCGUUGAUCAAACAUGGUUAAGGUCUCCUAACCAUGGACAUGAGUUGUCAUUUGAUAACGGGAUCACAUCAUUAGUAGAAUGAUGUGAUGGACAAGACCCAUCCGUUUGUUGGGAAACGUAGCAUGCAAUUUCAAAAAUUUCCUACGCUCACGCAAGAUCUAUCUAGCAGAUGCAUAGAAAUGAGAGGGGAGAGUGUCUCUACGUACCCUCGUAGACCGUUAAGCGGAAGCGUUUAUCACGCGGUUGAUGUAUUCAUACUCUUCACGAUCCGAUCACGGUCCAAACGUUCUAGUGCCGAACGGACGACACAUCCGAGCUUAGCACAUGUGUGGCUCGAUGAUGUCUCCUCCUUCUUGAUCUAGCAAGCGGGAGAGGAGAAGUAGAUGGGAUCACAACCAACACGACGGCAUGGUGGUGAUGGUCGUGGUGGAACACCGACAGCGCUUCGCUAAGCGUCACCGGGACGAGGCGGUGGAACUACGGAGUAACGGGAGAGAGAGGGGCACCAAGGGCUUGGUGUGUUCUCUUGGGGCACCCCCUCCCCUCUAUAUAUAGGUGGAGGGGCGUGGUAAACAUCCCCUCCAAGCCCUAGGGCGCAGCUAAGGGGGAGAGGACUUGGACUCCAAGUCCAAUCCUAUUCCUACUAGGACUCCUUCGUUUUUUGCAUUCCCUAGCCACAUGGGCUUGUGAGGACUUGGCGCGCUUAGCCCAAUAAGGCCAGGGCGCCUCCCCACAGCCCAUGCUAACCCUUGGGUCGUGGUGGAACCACUUGUGGACUUCCGGACCCCUCCAGAACCUUCUAGAAGCUUCCUGAUACAAUACCGAAAAAACUGCAUCUUUUUCCGAAACCCAAAAUAUGACUUCCCAUAUAUAAAUCUUUACCUCUCGGCCAUUCCGAGACUCCUCGUGACGUCCGGGGUCUCAUUCAGGACUCCGAACAGCAUUUGGUUACCACUCAUCAAAUAUCCCAAUACUACUCUAGCGUUAACGAACGUUAAGCGUGCGACCCUGCGGGUUCGGGAAUUAUGUAGUCAUGACCGAGACACUUCUCCGGUCAAUAACCAACUUCGGAACCUGGAUGCUCAUAUUGGCUCCUACAUAUUCUACGAAGAUCUUUAUCGGUCGAACCGUUAUGACAACAUAAGUUAUUCCCUUUGUCUAUCGGUAUGUUACUUGCCCGAGAUUCGAUUGUCGGUAUCUUCAUACCUAGUUCAAUCUCGUUACUGGCAAGUCUCUUUACUCGUUCUAUAAUACAUCAUCCCGCAACUAACUCAUUAGUCACAUUGCUUGCAAGGCUUAUUAUGAUGUGCAGUACCGAGAGGGCCCAGAGAUACCUCUCCGAUACUCGGAGUGACAAAUCCUAAUCUUGAUCUAUGCCAACCCAACAAACACCUUCCGAGAUACCUGUAGAGCAUCUUUAUAAUCACCCAGUUACGUUGUGACGUUUGAUAGCACACAAGGCAUUCCUCCGGUAUCCGGGAGUUGCAUAAUCUCAUAAUCGAAGGAAUAUGUAUUUGACAUGAAGAAAGCAAUAGCAAUAAACUGAACGAUCAUUAAGCUAAGCUAACGGAUGGGUCUUGUCCAUCACAUCAUUCUCCUAAUGAUGUGAUCCCGUUCAUCAAAUGACAACACAUGUCUAUGGUUAGGAAACUUAACCAUCUUUGAUUAACGAGCUAGUCUAGUAGAGGCUUACUAGGGACACAGUGUUUUGUCUAUGUAUCCACACAUGUAUCAAGUUCCGGGUUAAUACAAUUCUAGCAUGAAUAAUAAACAUUUAUCAUGAGAAAAAGAAAUAUAAAAUAACAACUUUAUUAUUGCCGCUAGGGCAUAUUUCCUUCAGUCUCCCACUUGCACUAGAGUCAAUAAUCUAGUUCACAUUGCCAUGUGAUUGAAAACCAAUAGUUCACAUCUUUAUGUGAUUAGCACCCAAAAAGUACUAAGGUGUGAUCAUGUUUUGCUUGUGAGAGAAGUUUAGUCAACAGGUGUGCCACAUUCAGAUCCGUAUGUAUUUUGCAAAUUUCUAUGUCUACAAUGCUCUGCAUGGAGCUACUCUAGCUAAUUGCUCCCACUUUCAACAUGUAUCCAGAUUGAGACUCAGAGUCAUCCGGAUCAGUGUCAAAGCUUGUAUCGACAUAACCCUUUACGACGAACUCUUUGUCACCUCCAUAACCGAGAAACAUUUCCUUAGUCCUCUUUAGUUACCUAAGGAUAAUUUUGAUCGAUGUCCAGUGAUCUACUCCUGGACCACUAUUGUAUCCCCUUGCUAAACUCAUGGUAAGGUACAUAAUAGGUCUGGUAUACAGCAUGGCAUACUUUAUAGAACCUAUGGUUGAGGCAUAGGGAAUGACUUUCAUUCUCUCUCUAUCUUCUUCCGUGGUCGAGUUUUGAGUCUUACUCAACUUAAUACCUUACAACUCAGGCAAGAACUUCUUCUUUGACUGAUCCAUUUUGAACUCCUUCAAAAUCUUACCAAGGUAUGUACUCGUUGAAAGUCUUAUCAAGCGUCUUGAUCUAUCUCUAUAGAUCUUGAUGCCCAAUAUGUAAAUAGCUUCACCGAGGUCUUUAUUUGAAAACUCAUUUCAAACACUCCUUUUUGCUUUCCAUAAAAUUCUACAUCAUUUCCGAUAAACAAUAUGUCAUUCACAUAUACUUAUAAGAAAGGCUGUAGUGCACCCACUCACUUUCUUGUAAAUACAGGCUUCACCGCAAGUCUGUAUAAAACUAUAUGCUUUGAUGAACUUAUCAAAGCGUAUAUUCCAAGUCCGAGAUGCUUGCACCAGUCCAUAGAUGGAUCGCUGGAGUUUGCACACUUUGUUAGCACCUUUAGGAUAGACAAAACAUUUUGGUUGCAUCAUAUACUGUUGGGAAACGCAGUAAUUUCAAAAAAAAAUCAUACAAUCACGCAAGAUCUAUCUAUGUGAUGCAUAGCAACGAGAGGGGAGAGUGUUGUCUACGUACCCUCAUAGACCGAAAGCGGAAGUGUUAUGACAACGCGGUUGAUGUAGUCGUACAUCUUCAUGAUCCGACCGAUCCUAGCACCAAAGGUACGGCACCUCCGCGAUCUGCACAUGUUCAGCUCAGUGACGUCCCACAAACUCUAGAUCCAGCUGAGGUCGAGGGAGAGUUUCGUCAGCACGACGGCGUGAUGACGGUGAUGAUGAAGUUACCAACGUAGGGCUUCACCUAAGCACUACAACGAUAUGACCGAGGUAGAAAUUUGUGGAGGGGGGCACCGCACACGGCUAAGACAACUGUCAACUUGUGUGUUCUAGGGUCCCCCUGCCCCCGUAUAUAAAGGAGCAAGGGGGAGGCCGGCCGGCCCUCAUGGGGCGCUCCCCAAGUAGGAUUCCUACUAGGAAUCCUAUUCCUAGUAGGUUUCCAACAAGGGAAGAGAGGGGGAAGGAAGGAGAGGGAGAGUGGGAGAAGGAAAGGGGGCGCCGCCCCCUUCCCUAGUCAAAUUCAGACCCAAGGGGGAGAGGGCGCGCGGCCUGCCCUAGCCGCCCCUCUCUCUCUCCACUAAGGCCCAUGUGGCCCAUUAGUUCCCCCGGGGGGUUCCGGUAACCCUUCGGCACUUCGGUUUUAUCCGAAACUUCUUCUGAACAUUUCUGGUGUCCGAAUAUAGUCCUCCAAUAUAUCAAUCUUUAUGUCUCGACCAUUUCGAGACUCCUCGUCAUGUCGGUGAUCACAUCCGGGACUCCGAACUACCUUCGGUACAUCAAAACACAUAAACUCAUAAUACCAAUCAUCACCGAACGUUAAGCGUGCGGACCCUACGGGUUCGAGAACUAUGUAGACAUGACCGAGACUCACUUCCGGUCAAUAACCAAUAGCGGAACCUGGAUGCUCAUAUUGGUUCCUACAUAUUCUACGAAGAUCUUUAUCGGUCAAACCGCAUAACAACAUACGUUGUUCCCUUUGUCAUCGGUAUGUUACUUGCUCGAGAUUCGAUCGUCGGUAUCUCAAUACCUAGUUCAAUCUCGUUACCGGCAAGUCUCUUUUCUCGUUCCGUAAUGCAUCAUCCCACAACUAACUCAUUAGUCACAUUGCUUGCAAGGCUUAUAGUGAUGUGCAUUACCGAGAGGGCCCAGAGAUACCUCUCCGUAACAUGGAGUGACAAAUCCUAAUCUCGAUCUAUGCCAACCCAACAAACACCAUCGAAGACACCUAUAGAGCAUCUUUAUAAUCAUCCAGUUACGUUGUGACGUUUGAUAGAACACUAAGUGUUCCUCCGGUAUUCGGGAGUUGCAUAAUCUCAUAGUCAUAGGAACAUGUAUAAGUUAUGAAGAAAGCUAUAACAAUAAACUAAACGAUCAUAGUGCUAAGCUAACGGAUGGGUCAAGUCAAUCACAUCAUUCUCUAAUGAUGUGAUCCCGUUCAUCAAAUGACAACACAUGUCUAUGGUUAGGAAACUUAACCAUCUUUGAUUAAUGAGCUAGUCAAAGUAGAGGCAUACUAGUGACACUCAGUUUGUCUAUGUAUUCACACAUGUACUAAGUUUCUGGUUAAUACAAUUCUAGCAUGAAUAAUAAACAUUUAUCAUGAUAUAAGGAAAUAUAAAUAACAACUUUAUUAUUGCCUCUAGGGCAUAUUUCCUUGAGUCUCCCACUUGCACUAGAGUCAAUAAUCUAGAUUACAUUGUAAUGAUUCUAACACCCAUGGAGUCUUGGUGCUGAUCAUGUUUUGCUCGUGAGAGAGGCUUAGUCAACGGGUCUGCAACAUUUAGAUCCGUAUUUAUCUUGCAAAUCUCUAUGUCCCCUUCCGACACCUGAUGACGGAUGGAAUUGAAGCGUCUCUUGAUGUGCUUGGUUCUCUUGUGAAAUCUGGAUUCCUUCGCGAAGGCAAUUGCUCCAGUAUUGUCACAAAAGAUUUUCAUUGGACCCGAUGCACUAGGUAUGACACCUAGAUCGGAUAUGAACUCCUUCAUCCAGACUCCUUCAUUUGCUGCUUCCGAAGCAGCUAUGUAUUCCGCUUCACACGUAGAUCCUGCCACGACGCUCUGCUUAGAACUGCACCAACUGACAGCUCAACCAUUCAAUAUAAACAUGUAUCCGGUUUGCGACUUAGAGUCAUCUAGAUCAGUGUCAAAGCUUGCAUCGACAUAACCAUUUACGACGAGCUCUUUGUCACUGUCGGUCUCAAAACCGACGGAUCUCGGGCAGGGGGUCCCGAACUGUGCGUCUAGGAUCGAUGGUAACAGGAGAUGGGGGACACGAUGUUUACCUAGGUUCAGGCCCUCUCUAUGGAGGUAAUACCCUACUUCCUGCUUGAUUGAUCUUGAUGAAUACGAGUAUUACAAGAUUUGAUCUACCACGAGAUCGUAAUGGCUAAACCCUAGAAGUCUAGCCUAUAUGAAUAUGGUAAUGAAUAUCCGUCCAUCCGGACUACUGCCUCCGGUUUAUAUAGACACCGGAGGGAUCUAGGGUUUACAUAGAGUCGGUUACAUAGGAGGGAAUCUUCAUAGUUGAUCGCCAAGCUUGCCUUCCACGCCAAGGAGAGUCCAAUCCGGACACGGGUAUAGUCUUCGGCCUUCAUAUCUUCACAACCCAUCAGUCCGGCCCAUAGAUAACAGGCCGGAUGCCCGAGGACCCCUUAGUCCAGGACUCCCUCAGUAGCCCCUGAACCUGGCUUCAAUGACGAGGAGUCCGGCGCGCAGAUUGUAUUCGGCAUUGCAAGGCGGGUUCCCCUUCUUCCGAACUCCAGGAUAGUCUUCGGAUGCGAUGAUUUGUAUCCGGACCCGUAUACACAAUUGUAGAGGAUAUAAUAUUUUGCGAGUCUCUUCUGCUCACCACUGUUUAUGACAUUGCAUUAUGCCUGCCCGGUCAUUACUUCCAUCCGCUGGCUAGCCCCUCGCCCCACGUCUCGGGGCACGGUUUUAUUGGCACGUCUUGUCAAAGCAGGGAUCGUGUCCCUUAUUCACAGAAUUUUCUAUAAUGUAGGCGUGGGUAACCCAACCGUCCCUCGGUACAACUCCUCGAGGAUAAGUAAGUUUCGAUACCCAGGAGGGGACGCUCAAUAUUCUGGGCCUUUAUAUAGGGACCCAGACUUGUCUUUUUCUUUUGCGCUUGCUUCUUCCUCAACCCCAGCCACCUCGAGUUCCAGCCCUCGGGUUCCAAUCACCACCAGGCCCAAUCACGUCCGGGUCUAGACGUUCAGGCCAGUGGGUGGCCUCUUCUGUCACAGGGGAGGACAUUGCGAAGCUCCGCCAGGCGAGGUAUCUGACCCCAGAAAUCCUUCAUCGGCUUCCCGCCGAGGGGUAGGUUAUUCCUACCCCCAAAUCUGGCGAGAGGGUAGUAUUUGUGUCCCACUUCCUCCAUGGGUUAGGGUUCGCGCUUAACGCCUUCGUCUGGGGGCUCAUGUUCUACUAUGGGCUAGAUUUUCACAAUCUGACCCCGGGCUCUAUUCUUCUCAUCUCAACAUUCAUCGUCACGUGUGAGGCCUUCCUCCGGACUCCCCCGCACUUUGGUUUGUGGCUCAAGACUUUUAAUGUGAGGCCGCGGGUGGCAGAGGAGGAACAGGCAGAGUGCGGCAGCGUCGCAAUAGGCAAGCUUGCCGACGCGGUUUGGUUUGAAGGGUCCUUCGCCGAGUCUUCCGAUAUGUGGCAGCAGGGGUGGUUUUAUAUCAAUGAGCCACGGGGCCCCAAGUGGGCGGCUACGCCUGCAUUUCAACGCGGCUCUCUGAUUCAGCUUGCUUCAUGGAUCAAUAAGGGAUUGGAUUGGGGAUCUGUCGAUGAAGUGCGGACUCUGCAAAGUCGCAUCCGGAGCCUCUCCGAGAAGGGCAUUGACCUUGUGAAUGUCGUUCAAGUAAUGCUAGUCCGCCGGACCCUGCCAUGUCAGCGGCGGCCUCUCCGUAUGUGGGAGUUUAAUCCAGAAGGGAGGCGGACUCUUCAGCACUCCUUCGGUGCUACGCACGAAGGAAUGUAGAAAUUAUAUUUCGGGGAGCGAGAGCAAUGGCCAGACACUACCGAAGACGUUGUCCUUGACUGCAAUCAUUCGGACACUUCGGUAAGUAUUCAAUCUUCGAACACCUUCCAUUCAAGCAUCUCUUGAUAAGAUACUGAACAAUCCGUCCCCAUACAGGACUGGAUAAAGAAAGCGGUGUUAAUCUGGUGUCCGGCGCCCCUUCCCGAAGAUUCUGCGACCGCCCUGCUGACGAGGAUGCUGACUCCGACACCGUACCAGGUGUCUGCAGAGGGGGGCGAGAGCAGGGAACUCAAAGGUGAUGCCUGCCCUGAGGAUGGUGUGUUCGGGGAAACUGAAACCCUUUUGCCCAGGGGGAAAGGUGUAGAGGGUGCCUUCCAUGGCAAGAAGAGGGCCGCUUCCGGAGGUCAGGAGGGGAAGCUUUCCAAGAGAGGAAAAACGCCAUCGUUGGGCGGCCCGGGCCGGGCAAGCGAUGUCGCCGCAGAGCUUUAUGAUGAGGGUAAACCUCUGGCCGAACCGUAAGUGAAACUGGGGCACUUUAAACAUACCUCGUCCUUUUCCUGUUUAGUGAAGUAAUCAUCCGCAUAUGUGCAUCCUCGCAGGAUAACGCCUGGUUUUUCUCAAUCGCCCUCCUCCUCGGGGGACCUUCUUCCGGAGAUGAUGGAGAGUGACAUGCCUUCUCCGGCCUCUUCGCCCAACAGGGCAGACGAUCUUGAGGUAUCGUCUCGGAGGGCUCCUCCCGAUCCACCAGUAGUGCCGGAAACGAAGAAGGCGUUUCCCGAAGGUGGGGCAUCUGUCACUCAGAGUUCUGGAAUGAAGAAUGAUGGCCCUGAGCCGUCCGGUUUGCAGCCGGAGGCGAUUCUAGAGGUGAGUAAACGGGUUCUUUCAAAGGAUUGCCGUACUUCGGCGGCGGUUUCCGAAGACCCCUGAGCGCCGGAAAUGCUGACGGACAUGCUGCGAUGAGCGUCCGUUUCAGAGGAGCACCGUGCCUUGAUGGCUACGGUGGUCGAAAAGGUUCUAUCCGCGAAGAGCGGGUUGAACGAGGCCUUUAUGAGCCUUCUCAGAGGUUUUGAGGUUUGUGAUGUAGUUUUGCCAACGGAACUUUAUUGGCAGAAUGCACCUGUUGUAUAUGCAGUAGCCCCUGAGACUCGGAUUGCCUUCCAAAGGAGGCGAUCGGAGGAUCGAAAAGAUAUGCUCAGGUACUAACCUUGAUUUAACAUUGACUGCAGGCUGCCUCCCCUUCAGCGGCUACACGGAAUACGGAAGUGGCCAAACUACAGCGAAAGCUGGUUAUUGCAGGGGAUGACAUUGCCUUGAUCAACAGGCGUCUUGACGACUCGCAAGGUAUAUAUUUCGAGCAUUCCUUACACCAAUGUGCUUACAAUUGAAGCUUGACUCUGAAAAGAGUUUUAUAUGUAAUGUGCAUGAAUGCAGAUGGUGCUACCGCCGUGGAGGCCCUUCGAGCGGAGCUAGCCCGGGCCAAGGAGCAGGCCUGGUUAAGUUAUGCGGCUGCCGAAAAGGCAUCGGCUGAGUUAAAAGCCGAACAAGUUGCACGACACCGAGACAAGGAGAAGAUGUCCACCAUGGCUCACUAAUUAGAGAAUGCGGCUAGCCGCUGUAAACUUCUUGAGAAGGAAAAUGAAGCCAAAACGGCUGAUCUUGACAAGGCCUUACGAGAGGCGAGAGAGGCACGAUCUAAAUCCAGAGCGGCCCAUGAGGAGAUCCGGCAAGCUGGGGAGAUUGCGGCUGGCAAGCCCUUUUUGCUACAGACUAAGUUCGGUGAUCCGAACUAUGCUCAGCUUAACCAAGUAUGGAGUUCUUCGGACAAAUUUUUUGACUUACCGAAGAGUUCUUCCGAUGCGGCGCAGUUUUACUGCGCACAAGAGGGGUAUGCCACGGAGAGGCUCUUCUGGUCGCAAUUUGGCGCGUCAAAGCGCCCUCUGUUGCUGAAUGAACAGAUGUCCCAGUGGGCCGAGCUUCAUAGGAUAUCCGGCGACGCCAUGAAGAACGUCGUAAUCCGGCUGUGGCCAAGUGAGCCUGUUCCGAGUAGUUAUUUUGUCCUGGUGCGGCGGCUUGUUGACGCAGUGCCACAUAUCGAUGCUGUGAAGCGAUGAGCAUGCAUUGAGGGUGCACGGAUGACGGCUGCCCGAGUCAAAACUUUUUGGGGAAAGAUGAAGGCCGUCGAUGUUGUGGCGAGGAGUCCACCCAAGGGCAAGGACCGUUAUGAGCCGGAGCACUAUUUUGAAGACGUCCUGGAAGCCGCCAGCCUGAUAGCGGGUCAAUGCUCGAAGAACAUAAUGUUUGAGUGAGGUGUAUUAGAAUUGUAAGAGACAAUUUUAUAAUUGAUCUAUUUUAUGUUUUUGCUCGAAAGCUUGAAUUCCUCCUGUGCGGCCGUUUUAAUAUGAUCUGAAAGUUUUCCAGUCGUCGGCUUCAGCCCCCUCAUAGGAAGUACGGGGGUGUUCGGAAAAGCAUUGAAUCACUCUUUAUCCAACGUCAUGGUCCAUGAAGGAGGUGAUAAUGCAGCGAACCAGGCAAUCGGACUAUAAGGCGUUAACACUUUCACUUAGCCAUAGGAGUUUUAUCAUGGGGUUACGACAUAGCCCCUGGUAUGUAUACGGUGCAUUGUAAUGUCGUGCCUUACAUAUUUUGAUCUAAAAAGAUCCUUCGUGUGACACGGAGAAUCACUAAAGAUUCGAGUAAGUCGUCAAGUGGUUGACCAGCUCUCGCCGCAUCAUGACAGUCAGUUUUCGGCUUUCUCUACUGAGGUGCUCAUCCGGUCUAGGCCAGGGCACAAUCGCAGUAGUUCUCCCUUUACUACCCUAGCCGAUAGAGCGGAACGUAGGGUAGCAAGCACGGGAGCCGGGCAACCCAACUAUUGACCAAAGACAAUGAUUCGGAGCUGAUGCAUAUAAGGCCAAACUUGCAACGCCGAAGUGCGUUAUAGAGCUGUUCGGACUUUUACUGGCGACACAUUUGUUCCCAUACCGGGCCCUUGGCGAGUUAUGUCGAGGUGCGUCUUGUAAGGCAGCCGUUACGACCGGACUCAUUGUAGAAAUAGCACGGAAGAUUAGUUCGGGUAAAGUUUACUGGGAACGGAGCAAUAUGCCAAUGAUGAAUGUAUAUAAAAAGUAGAAAACCACAACCCGGCUAUUUGACAUGCUCGGGGUUGGGAACGGAGGAAAAAAGGCAUAGUACAGGCUCAAAAUAACGAGUGCGGUCUACAAAAGCUUGUUUUGGACCUCCUGUCUCAUGUCUGCGCCGCCCAUCCUUGGGGAGGGGGAAUCCUUAACGGAAGUGACCCCUUGGGUGAGUGUAUGGAUACGAACUCCGGUGGAGUCCGAUGUAGGUACUGUCCUGAGGUCACCUGUUUUUAAGAGAUAAUAAAUAAAAGUAAGGAAAACAGAUAAAAACGUUACGGGAAUUCUUGCAGGGUUGUCCGUAUUGUGCUUCCGCCGAUGCCCAUGGUAUCUUGAGCGCGUAGUGAUGUAUGCGUGGUGUAAAUCCUGCCAAUAUAGUGGCUGGGCGGCGGAAGCCGGACUGCUAUUUCCGUUCCAGGAGUGGUCGAACUUCGGAGGGAAACUGUUUCUGGCCCCUGGUGUUCAGCUGGAGAGCCGCUCCGCUGUUUUUAUUGCCUGGUGGCCUCCUCCCCUCGUGCUUGGCAUUAAGCUUGCCUGCCUGCUUGAAGACCCAACAGUUUCUGUUGGUGUGAUUAGCUGGCUUAUCAGGAUGGCCGUGAAUUUGACAAGGUCGGUCCAAUAUCCUGUUGAGGGUGGAUGAUCCAUCCUGGUUUGCCUUAAAUGGCUUCUUCCGUUGACCGGGUUUCGGAUUGUUAAAUCCGGCGUUGACCGCUGUGUCGCCUAAUAUUUCAUGACUGUUGCGACUAUUGUGUUCGGUUCGUCGUGGCUUGCCGUUGCCGUCUCGGAUUUCGGAGGUGCCCGGGCCACUGGCGUUGUUGCUUUUAUGAGCGAGCCAGUUAUCUUCUCCCGCGCAAAAGCGGGUCAUUAGGGUGGUGAGGGCUGUCAUGGAUUUGGGUCCUUCCUGACCGAGGUGACGCGCUAGCCAUUCAUCCCGGACGCUAUGUUUGAAGGCCGCGAGGGCUUCUACGUCCGGACAAUCGACAAUUUGGUUCUUUUUAAGUAAGAACCUAGUCCAGAGCUCCCUGGCUAACUCGCCGGGCUCCUGGACAAUAUGACUUAAGUCAUCAGCAUCUGGUGGCCGGACAUAUGUUCCUUGGAAGUUGUCUUGAAAGGCCUCUUCCAGAUCUUCCCAGCUGCCAAUGGAAUUUUCUGGCAGACUGUUUAGCCAGUACCGAGCCGGCCCUUUAAGCUUUAGUGGUAAGUAUUUAAUGGCGUGAAGGUCGUCUCCGCGAGCCAUGUGAAUGUGGAGGAGGUAAUCCUCAAUCCAUACCGCAGGAUCUACUGUUCCAUCGUAUGAUUCGAUGUUAAUGGGUUUAAACCCGUCUGGAAAUUCAUGCUCCAUUACCUCGUCAGUGAAGCAGAGAGGGUGUGCGGCUCCUCUAUGUUGGGCCACACUAUGAAGCACUUCCGGCGGACGCUGUUUAGGGUGUUCGGACCGGGCGUGGUCGGCUCUGCUGUGUCCGAAUAGGUAACCCUCAUUGCCGGUCAGGGCAUGUCCGCGCAAUCUGUGUAUUGAUUUUGUGUGUCCUGUUCUACCUUCCAGGUCUUGUUGGAUGUCGCAACUGUUCCCCCUAGCUGGUUUAUUCUUGCUUUGCCGGCCGGAUGGGUUGGUAUGGUGUUCUGCUUGGGCUGCUGCUUUAUCUGGACCGAACUGUGAUCAUCCUACCGCAUUAUUUGAUGGUUGUAUGGGCUCCAACACCCUGCCAUCGUAUUGAGGGAGCCACUUGUACUUGGGGUGGCUUUUGUCUGGGCCGCGAAGGCUGAAUUCUUCGGCGGUCACGACCUUGGUCCAUCUAUCAUUGAGCAAAUCUUGACUUGCUUGAAGCUGCAGCCGACGUUUAAAGCGCUCCUGCUCAAGAGGUUCCUCGGGCAUGAUAAAAUCCUCGUUGCCAAGGCUCUCCUCAUCCUCGGAGGGUGGGAGAUAAUUACUAUCCUCCGAGUCUUCAUAUUUGGCCUGUCCAUUGAGGCUGUCUUGCCCGCUUUCCUGUUCCUCCUGUUCGGAUUCUACCUCAACAAGGUCUUCGUUGUUCGGAGUGUUGUAUUCUCUGGUGCUAGCAAUGAUUUUCCUUAGGCGGUGUGACUUGGAGCGGCGCCGUGGGCGCCGGUGUUCGGACUGUUUACCAGGAGGUUUGUCCUCGACUGGAUCCUCCUUGUGAUCGUCGAGUGCGUCGUCAGGUGUGUCUAUCAUACACACGUCAUACCAGGAAGUGGCAAUCCUGUGUUUGGCGGGUGGUAAGCUCUGUACCUGCACCUCAUCAUCGUCCAUACCGUCGAUGUCUUCGGAGUGAAGGUCAUGUUGGAAAUAUGCCCUAGAGGCAAUAAUAAAUGGUUAUUAUUAUAUUUCCUUGUUCAUGAUAAUUGUCUAUUGUUCAUGCUAUAAUUGUGUUAUCCGGAAAUCGUAAUACAUGUGUGAAUACAUAGACCACAACGUGUCCCUAGUAAGCCUCUAGUUGACUAGCUCGUUGAUCAACUGAUAGUCAUGGUUUCCUCACUAUGGACAUUGGAUGUCAUUGAUAACGGGAUCACAUCAUUAGGAGAAUGAUGUGAUGGACAAGACCCAAUCCUAAGCAUAGCACAAAAGAUCGUGUAGUUCAUUUGCUAGAGCUUUUCCAAUGUCAAGUAUCAUUUCCUUAGACCAUGAGAUCGUGCAACUCCCGGAUACCGUAGGAGUGCUUUGGGUGUACCAAACGUCACAACGUAACUGGGUGACUAUAAAGGUACACUACGGGUAUUUACGAAAAUGUCUGUUGGGUUGGCACGGAUCGAGACUGGGAUUUGUCACUCCGUAUGACGGAGAGGUAUCUCUGGGCCCACUCGGUAAUGCAUCAUCAUAAUGAGCUCAAUGUGACUAAGGAGUUAGCCACGGGAUGAUGCAUUACGGUACGAGUAAAGUGACUUACCGGUAACGAGAUUGAACAAGGUAUUGGGAUACCGACGAUCGAAUCUCGGGCAAGUAACGUACCGAUUGACAAAGGGAAUUGUAUACGGGAUUGAUUGAAUCCUCGACAUCGUGGUUCAUCCGAUGAGAUCAUCAUGGAACAUGUGGGAGCCAACAUGGGUAUCCAGAUCCCACUGUUGGUUAUUGACCGGAGAGGCGUCUCGGUCAUGUCUGCAUGUCUCCCGAACCCGUAGGGUCUACACACUUAAGGUUCGGUGACGCUAGGGUUGUAGAGAUAUUAGUAUGCGGAAACCCGAAAGUUGUUCGAAGUCCCGGAUGAGAUCCCGGACGUCACGAGGAGUUCCGGAAUGGUCCGGAGGUGAAGAAUUAUAUAUAGGAAGUCCAGUUUCGGCCACCGGGAAAGUUUCGGGGGUUAUCGGUAUUGUACCGGGACCACCGGAAGGGUCCCGGGGGUCCACCGGGUGGGGCCACCUAUCCCGGAGGGCCCCAUGGGCUGAAGUGGGAGGGGAACCAGCCCCUAGUGGGCUGGUGCGCCCCCCAUGGGCCUCCCCCUGCGCCUAGGGUUGGAAACCCUGGGGGUCGGGGGCGCCCCACCUGACUUGGGGGGGAAGUUCCCCCCCUUGGCCGCCGCCCCCCCCAUAGAUGGAUUCCAGGGCCGGCGCCCCCCAGGGGGCCUAUAUAAAGGGGGGAGGGAGGGCUGCUGUACCCUAUCCCCUGGCGCCUCCCUCUCCCUCCCGUGACACCUCUCCCUCCCGCUUGCGCUUGGCGAAGCCCUGCCGGGAUCCCCGCUACUUCCACCACCACGCCGUCGUGCUGCUGGAUCUCCAUCAACCUCUCCUUCCCCCUUGCUGGAAGAAGGAGGAGACGUCGCUGCUCCGUAUGUGUGUUGAACGCGGAGGUGCCGUCUGUUCGGCGCUCGGUCAUCGGUGAUUUGGAUCACGACGAGUACGACUCCAUCAACCCCGUUCACUUGAACGCUUCCGCUCGCGAUCUACAAGUGUAUGUAGAUGCACUCCUUUCCCCUCGUUGCUAGUAAACUCCAUAGAUGGAUCUUGGUGAUGCGUAGAAAAUUUUAAAAUUCUGCAACGAUCCCCAACAGUGGCAUCAUGAGCCAGGCCUAUGCGUAGUUACUAUGCACGAGUAGAACACAAAGCAGUUGUGGGCGUAGAUGUUGUCAAUUUUUCUUGCCACUACUAGUCUUAUCUUGUUUCGGCGGUAUUGUGGGAUGAAGCGGCCCGGACCGACCUUACACGUACGCUUACGUGAGACAGGUUCCACCGACUGACAUGCACUAGUUGCAUAAGGUGGCUAGCGGGUGUCUGUCUGUCCCACUUUAGUCAGAACGGAUUCGAUGAAAAGGGUCCUUAUGAAGGGUAAAUAGAAAUUGGCAUAUCACGUUGUGGUUUUACGUAGGUAAGAAACGUUCUUGCUAGAAAUCUAUAGAAGCCACGUAAAAACUUGCAACAACAAUUAGAGGACGUCUAACUUGUUUUUGCAGCAUGUGCCUUGUGACAUGAUAUGGCCAAAAGGAUGUGAUGAAUGAGAUAUAUGUGAUGUAUGAGAUUGAUCAUAUUCUUGUAAUAGGAAUCACGACUUGCAUGUCGAUGAGUAUGACAACCGGCAGGAGCCAUAGGAGUUGUCUUUAUUUUUUUGUAUGACCUGCGUGUCAUUGAAUAACGCCAUGUAAAUUACUUUACUUUAUUGCUAAACGCGUUAGCCAUAGAAGUAGAAGUAAUCAUUGGCGUGACAACUUCAUGAAGACACGAUGAUGGAGAUCAUGGUGUCAUGCCGGUGACGAAGAUGAUCAUGGCGCCCCGAAGAUGGAGAUCAAAGGAGCAAAAUGAUAUUGGCCAUAUCAUGUCACUAUUUGAUUACAUGUGAAACGAUACGAUUGUCUUUCUUCCAGCUGUGAAAGAGCAGGUUGAGGCUCUGAAAAAACUCCUGGUAGACUAUGCUGCGUCCAUUGGGUUACGACUCAAUUUUCAGAAAUCAACCCUGAUUCCGAUUAAUGUUACGCACGCGGAGGCACUGGAUUUUGCGGACAUGUUUGGUUGUGUUGUGGGGAAAAUGCCAUUCACAUAUUUAGGGCUCCCGCUUGGAACUACUAAACCCACAAUAAUGGAUUUCAUGCCUCUUGUGACAUCCGUUGAGAGAAGAGUCUCUAUGGCCGCUAACCUGCUAGACUACGGAUCGAAACUCACCUAUGUUAAUUCGGUGGUGUCAUCGCUUAUGGUGUAUGCCAUGUGUUCACUCAGAAUCCCUCCUAAGAUAGUGGAACACCUGGAUAAAAUCCGUAGGCAAUGCUUCUGGAGCAGGAAGACGGAGGAUGGGACAAAGAGCACCUCUCUUGCCUCUUGGGAGCUCGUCUGCCGCCCCAAGGCUGUAGGGGGACUUGGGAUUGUGGACCUUAAACUUCAGAAUCAAGGCCUUUUGCUCAAACAGUUAUACAAGUUUUACAAUAAACUAGAUGUGCCAUGGGUGAACCUGAUAUGGAGUGCAUACUACUCAGUCGUUGUACCGCAUGCCUCGGAACCAUGUGGCUCCUUCUGGUGGCGGGAUCUCAUGCAGUUAUCAGACAUCUUCAGAGGGGUGACUAAGAUCAAAGUUGGGGACGGUAGUACAGCCUUGUUCUGGAAGGAUCUUUGGAUUGAUCAACCACUAGAGACCGCAUGCCCGAGGGCGUUUUCAUUUGCGAGAGAAGAGGAUAUGUCAAUACAGACUUUGCUGAGAUCUAGCACCAUUGGAGAGGCUUUUCACAUACCAUUCUCUCCUCAGGCAAGAGCAGAAGUUGAAGAGAUUCAGGCUUUAACUGUGAGGAUUAAUCCCGACAGUGACACAAAUGACAAAUGGUGUUGUGUCUGGGAUGCUAGAGAGCUAGGAGCUUUCAAAUCAAGUGACUACUAUAAGUUCUGCUUUAAAGAUGUUAUUGUGGAUGCAGUUUUUCCUUGGAUCUGGGAAUCCAAAUGCACGAACAAAUGGAAAGUUUUUGCUUGGCUACUGUUUGCUGACCGUCUGAAUACUCGAAACAUGUUGAGGAGGAGGCAGUAUAAAUUGGAAGGUGAUGUGUACACCUGUCUGCUUUGUGGCACGCCCCCGGAGGAAACAGUGACCCACCUAUUCUUCAAAUGCCCAUUUGCAACUGAAUGUUGGUCUGCGAUUGGAAUGCACUGGCAUGAUUCCCAAUGCAGGCUGGAUCUCAUCCAUGAGGGAAGAAGAUCCUGGGGUGGUCCAUUAUUCAUGGAAAUCUUCAUCAUAGCAGCUUGGGGGUGUGGAAAGAGAAAUAAUAAACAUUUUAGGAAUGUGAUGCCAUCAAUGGAAUCCUAGAGAGGCAGGUUCAAAAAUGAUAUGUCCAUGAUGGUACACCGCACCAGAAACUCUCUCCACCCCUUCAUCAGAGGAUUGGUGGGCACUCUCUGAUCUCUACCACCCCCUAGUUUGCUUCUUUCUAGUAGGUUUUGACACCUCUUUGCUCUAACUAGUCUGUAUUGUACUACUCAUCUAUAUACCUUGUAACUAGGGGGCCACACCUCCCCUGAUCCUGGUGUUGCAUUAAUUUAAAAGUCAGUAGGAGCCUCUCCUACUGUCAGAGCUUUCAAAAAAAACAUGUGAUGUUUUUCAUGUUUUGCAUCUUAUUUGCUUAGAACGACGGUAGUAAGUAAGAUGAUCCCUUAUAAUAAUUUCAAGAAAGUGUUCCCCCUAACUGUGCACCGUUGCGAAAGUUCGUUGUUUCGAAGCACCACAUGAUGAUCGGGUGUGAUAGAUUCUAAUGUUCACAUACAACGGGUGUUGACGAGCCUAGCAUGUACAGACAUGGCCUCGGAACACAUGCAAUACACUUAGGUUGACUUGACAAGCCUAGCAUGUAUAGACAUGGCCUCGGAACACGGAAGACCGAAAGGUCGAGCAUGAGUCGUAUAGAAGAUACGAUCAACAUGGAGAUGUUCACCGAUCUUGACUAGUCCGUCUCACGUGAUGAUCGGACACGGCCUAGUUAACUCGGAUCAUGUUUCACUUAGAUGACUAGAGGGAUGUCUAUCUGAGUGGGAGUUCAUUGAAUAAUUUGAUUAGAUGAACUUAAUUAUUAUGAACUUAGUCUAAAAUCUUUACAAUAUGUCUUGUAGAUCAAAUGGCCCACAUUGUCCUCAACUUCAACGCGUUCCUAGAGAAAACCAAGCUGAAAGAUGAUGGCACCAACUAUACGGACUGGGUCCGGAACCUGAGGAUCAUCCUCAUAGCUGCCAAGAAAGAUUAUGUCCUAGAAGCACCGCUAGGUGAAGCACCCAUCCCAGAGAACCAAGACGUUAUGAACGCUUGGCAAUCACGUGCUGAUGAUUACUCCCUCGUUCAGUGCGGCAUGCUUUACAGCUUAGAACCGGGGCUCCAAAAGCGUUUUGAGAAACAUGGAGCAUAUGAGAUGUUCGAAGAGCUAAAAAUGGUUUUCCAAGCUCAUGCUCGGGUCGAGAGAUAUGAAGUCUCCGACAAGUUCUUCAGUUGCAAAAUGGAGGAAAAUAGUUCUGUCAGUGAGCACAUACUCAGAAUGUCUGGGUUACACAACCGCUUGUCUCAGCUGGGAGUUAAUCUCCCGGAUGACGCGGUCAUUGACAGAAUCCUUCAGUCGCUUCCACCAAGCUACAAGAGCUUUGUGAUGAACUUCAAUAUGCAGGGGAUGGAAAAGACCAUUCCUGAGGUAUAUUCAAUGCUGAAAUCAGCGGAGGUGGAGAUCAAAAAGGAACAUCAAGUGUUGAUGGUGAAUAAAACCACUAAGUUCAAGAAAGGCAAGGGUAAGAAGAACUUCAAGAAGGACGGCAAGGGAGUUGCCGCGCCCGGUAAGCCAGUUGCCGGGAAGAAGUCAAAGAAUGGACCCAAGCCUGAGACUGAGUGCUUUUAUUGCAAGGGAAGUGGUCACUGGAAGCGGAACUGCCCCAAAUACUUAGCGGACAAGAAGACCGGCAACACCAAAGGUAUAUGUGAUAUACAUGUAAUUGAUGUGUACCUUACCUGUACUCGUAGUAGCUCCUGGGUAUUUGAUACCGGUGCGGUUGCUCAUAUUUGUAACUCAAAACAGGAGCUGCGGAAUAAGCGGAGACUGGCGAAGGACGAGGUGACGAUGCGCGUCGGGAAUGGUUCCAAGGUCGAUGUGAUCGCCGUCGGCACGCUGCCUCUACAUUUACCUACGGGAUUAGUUUUAAACCUCAAUAAUUGUUAUUUAGUGCCAGCUUUGAGCAUGAACAUUGUAUCUGGAUCUCGUUUAAUUCGAGAUGGCUACUCAUUUAAAUCCGAGAAUAAUGGUUGUUCUAUUUAUAUGAGAGAUAUGUUUUAUGGUCAUGCCCCGCUGGUCAAUGGUUGAUUCUUGAUGAAUCUCGAACGUGAUGUUACACAUAUUCAUAGUGUGAAUACCAAAAGAUGUAAAGUUGAUAACGAUAGUCCCACAUACUUGUGGCACUGCCGCCUUGGUCACAUUGGUGUCGAACGCAUGAAGAAGCUCCAUGCAGAUGGACUUUUGGAGUCUCUUGAUUACGAAUCAUUUGACACGUGCGAACCAUGCCUCAUGGGUAAGAUGACCAAGACUCCGUUCUCCGGAAUAGUGGAGCGAGCAACCAACUUAUUGGAAAUCAUACAUACUAAUGUGUGCGGUCCAAUGAGUGUUGAGGCUCGCGGUGGCUAUCGUUAUGUUCUCACUCUCACUGAUGAUUUAAGUAGAUAUGGGUAUGUCUACCUAAUGAAACACAAGUCUGAAACCUUUGAAAAGUUCAAGGAAUUUCAGAGUGAGGUUGAGAAUCAACGUGACAGGAAAAUAAAGUUCCUGCGAUCAGAUCGUGGAGGGGAAUAUUUAAGUCACGAAUUUGGCACACACUUAAGGAAAUGUGGAAUCAUUUCACAACUCACGCCGCCUGGAACACCUCAGCGAAAUGGUGUGUCCGAACGUCGUAAUCGCACUCUAUUGGAUAUGGUGCGAUCUAUGAUGUCUCUUACCGAUCUACCGCUCUCAUUUUCGGGCUAUGCUUUAGAGACUGCUGCAUUCACUUUAAAUAGGGCUCCGUCGAAAUCCGUUGAGACGACACCAUAUGAAUUAUGGUUUGGGAAGAAACCUAAGCUGUCGUUUCUAAAAGUUUGGGGAUGCAAUGCUUAUGUCAAGAAAAUUCAACCUGAAAAGCUCGAACCCAAAUCGGAAAAAUGCGUCUUCAUAGGAUAUCCUAAGGAAACCAUUGGGUAUACCUUCUACCUCAGAUCCGAAGGCAAGAUCUUUGUUGCCAAGAACGGGUCCUUUCCGGAGAAAGAGUUUCUCUCGAAAGAAUUAAGUGGGAGGAAAGUGGAACUUAAUGAGGUGAUAGUCACCCCCUCCGAACCGGAAAGUAGCGCAGCGCGGGAAGAUGUUCCUGUGGUGCCUACACCAACUGGGGAGGAAGUUAAUGAUGAUGAUCAUGAAGCUUCGGAUCAAGUUACUGCUGAACUUCGUAGGUCCACAAGGACACGUUCCGCACCAGAGUGGUACGGCAACCCUGUCCUAGAAAUCAUGUUGUUAGACAACGGUGAACAUUCGAACUAUGAAGAAGCGAUGGCGGGCCCGGAUUCCGACAAAUGGCUAGAAGCCAUGAAAUCCGAGAUAGGAUCCAUGUAUGAAAACGACGUAUGGACUUUGACUAACUUGCCCGAUGAUCAGCGAGCCAUAGAAAAUAAAUGGAUCUUUAGGAAGAAGACAGACGCGGAUGGUAAUGUGACCAUCUAUAAGGCUCGACUUGUCGCUAAGGGUUAUCGACAAGUUCAAGGGGUUGACUACGAUGAGACUUUCUCACCCGUAGCGAAGCUGAAGUCCGUCCAAAUUAUGUUAGCAAUUGCCGCAUUCUAUGAUUAUGAGAUAUGGCAAAUGGACGUCAAAACGGCAUUCCUUAACGGCUUUCUUAAGGAAGAAUUGUAUAUGAUGCAGCCGGAAGGUUUUGUCGAUCCUAAGAAUGCUAACAAGGUAUGCAAGCUCCAGCGCUCCAUCUAUGGGCUGGUGCAAGCAUCUCGGAGUUGGAACAUUCGAUUUGAUGAGAUGAUCAAAGCGUUUGGGUUUACACAGACUUAUGGAGAAGCCUGUGUUUACAAGAAAGUGAGUGGGAGCUCUGUAGCAUUUCUCUUAUUAUAUGUGGAUGACAUACUAUUGAUGGAAAAUGAUAUAGAAUUCUUGGAAAGUAUAAAGGCCUACUUGAAUGUAGCAGAUCCGUUGACUAAACCUCUCCCUAGAGCAAAACAUGAUCAACACCAGAACUCUAUGGGUGUUCGAUUCAUCACAAUGUAACUAGAUUAUUGACUCUAGUGCAAGUGGGAGACUGUUGGAAAUAUGCCCUAGAGGCAAUAAUAAAUGGUUAUUAUUAUAUUUCCUUGUUCAUGAUAAUUGUCUAUUGUUCAUGCUAUAAUUGUGUUAUCCGGAAAUCGUAAUACAUGUGUGAAUACAUAGACCACAACGUGUCCCUAGUAAGCCUCUAGUUGACUAGCUCGUUGAUCAACAUAUAGUCAUGGUUUCCUGACUAUGGACAUUGGAUGUCAUUGAUAACGGGAUCACAUCAUUAGGAGAAUGAUGUGAUGGACAAGACCCAAUCCUAAGCAUAGCACAAAAGAUCGUGUAGUUCGUUUGCUAGAGCUUUUCCAAUGUCAAGUAUCAUUUCCUUAGACCAUGAGAUCGUGCAACUCCCGGAUACCGUAGGAGUGCUUUGGGUGUACCAAACAUCACAACGUAACUGGGUGACUAUAAAGGUACACUACGGGUAUCUACGAAAGUGUCUGUUGGGUUGGCACGGAUCGAGACUGGGAUUUGUCACUCCGUAUGACGGAGAGGUAUCUCUGGGCCCACUCGGUAAUGCAUCAACAUAAUGAGCUCAAUGUGACUAAGGAGUUAGCCACGGGAUCAUGCAUUGCGGUACGAGUAAAGCGACUUACCGGUAACGAGAUUGAACAAGGUAUUGGGAUACCGACGAUCGAAUCUCGGGCAAGUAACGUACCGAUUGACAAAGGGAAUUGUAUACGAGAUUGAUUGAAUCCUCGACAUCGUGGUUCAUCCGAUGAGAUCAUCAUGGAACAUGUGGGAGCCAACAUGGGUAUCCAGAUCCCACUGUUGGUUAUUGACCGGAGAGGCGUCUCGGUCAUGUCUGCAUGUCUCCCGAACCCGUAGGGUCUACACACUUAAGGUUCGGUGACGCUAGGGUUGUAGAGAUAUUAGUAUGCGGAAACCCGAAAGUUGUUCGGAGUCCCGGAUGAGAUCCCGGACGUCACGAGGAGUUCCGGAAUGGUCGGGAGGUGAAGAAUUAUAUAUAGGAAGUCCAGUUUCGGCCACCGGGAAAGUUUCGGGGGUUAUCGGUAUUGUACCGGGACCACCGGAAGGGUCCCGGGGGUCCACCGGGUGGGGCCACCUAUCCCGGAGGGCCCCAUGGGCUGAAGUGGGAGGGGAACCAGCCCCUAGUGGGCUGGUGCGCCCCCCAUGGGCCUCCCCCUGCGCCUAGGGUUGGAAACCCUGGGGGUCGGGGGCGCCCCACCUGACUUGGGGAGGAAGUUUCCCUCCCUUGGCCGCCGCCCCCCCAUAGAUGGGAUCCCAGGGCCGGCGCCCCCCAGGGGGCCUAUAUAAAGGGGGGAGGGAGGGCUGCUGUACCCUAGCCCCUGGCGCCUCCCUCUCCCUCCCGUGACACCUCUCCCUCCCGCUUGCGCUUGGCGAAGCCUUGCCGGGAUCCCCGCUACUUCCACCACCACGCUGUCGUGCUGCUGGAUCUCCAUCAACCUCUCCUUCCCCCUUGCUGGAUCAAGAAGGAGGAGACGACGCUGCUCCGUACGUGUGUUGAACGCGGAGGUGUCGUCCGUUCGGCGCUCGGUCAUCGGUGAUUUGGAUCACGACGAGUACGACUCCAUCAACCCCAUUCACUUGAACGCUUCCGCUCGUGAUCUACAAGGGUAUGUAGAUGCACUCCUUUCCCCUCGUUGCUAGCAAACUCCAUAGAUGGAUCUUGGUGAUGCGUAGAAAAUUUUAAAAUUCUGCAACGAUCCCCAACAGGUCAGACGUGUUGGUUGGGUCUUCAACGGUGGCUAUGAAGUGGGUGGCGGGUGGGAAGCAGAAUUCCCCAUCAUCCGCCGUGAGUUCGAACCAAACAUAGUUCGGCGAAGAGUCAUCUGUCAGGGAUAGAUUUUUAACGAGUUGAGUAAGUCGCCCAUGGGAGAGUGUUGGAAGACAUCUGCGGCGCUGAACUUGAAGAUCGAUAACCGAUCGAGUUCGGUGUCCGAGGGCUCGCAGGUUCCGGAACUCGGCACCGGAGACGAGCCCGGGGCUCCGUUGAUGCAGGUACCGUACGAAGUGGAAUCUGCAAGCGGCUCCAACGCCACCGAAUCAGUAGCCCCCGUGAUGGGGUUGAGCUUCCCAUCUUCGGGUGACUUGAUCUGCUCCGGAUCUAAGGCCAGAGUUGCUAUAGGAGCUAUCUCCUGGGUGUGACCCGAUGACCGGUUUAAGCCAUGUUCGUCGGAGCGGCAGGGAACGAUUGCCGCGGUCUCGAAUCCGUUGAAGAUCAAGUCUCCACGGAUGUCCACAACGUAGUUCAGGCUUCCAAAUCUGACCUGAUGGCCAGGGGCGUAGCUGUCGAUCUGCUCCAGACGGCCAAGCGAGUUGGCCCGCAGUGCGAAGCCGCCGAAUACGAAGAUCUGUCCGGGGAGAAAGGUUUCUCCCUGGACAACGUCAUCACUGACGAUCGAAGGGUCCAUCAAACCUUUCGUCGACGACACAGUGGAACUCUCAAUGAAAGCACCAAUGUCAGUGUCAAAACCGGCGGAUCUCGGGUAGGGGGUCCCGAACUGUGCGUCUAGGAUCGAUGGUGACAGGAGACAAGGGACACGAUGUUUACCUAGGUUCGGGCCCUCUCUAUGGAGGUAAUACCCUACUUCCUGCUUGAUUGAUCUUGAUGAAUAUGAGUAUUACAAGAGUUGAUCUACCACGAGAUCGUAAUGGCUAAACCCUAGAAGUCUAGCCUAUAUGAAUAUGGUAAUGAAUAUCCGUCCAUCCGGACUACUCCCUCCGGUUUAUAUAGACACCGGAGAGGUCUAGGGUUUACAUAGAGUCGGUUACAUAGGAGGGAAUCUUCAUAGUUGAUCGCCAAGCUUGCCUUCCACGCCAAGGAGAGUCCAAUCCGGACACGGGUAUAGUCUUCGGCCUUCAUAUCUUCACAGCCCAUCAGUCCGGCCCAUAGAUAACAGGCCGCACGCCCGAGGACCCCUUAGUCCAGGACUCCCUCAGUCACCUCCAUAAACGAGAAACAUAUCCUUAGUCCUUUUCAGGUAUUUCAGGAUGUUCUUGACCACUGUCCAGUGAUCCACUCCUGGAUUACUUUGGUACCUCCCCACUAUACUUAUAGCAAGGCACACAUCAGGUCUGGUACACAGCAUUGCAUACAUGAUAGAACCUAUGGCUGAAGCAUAGGGAAUGACUUUGAUUUUCUCUCUAUCUUGUGCAGUGGUCGGGCAUUGAGUCUCACUCAACUUCACACCUUGUAACACAGGCAAGAACCCUUUCUUUGACUGGUCCAUUUUGAACUUCUUCAAAAUCUUAUCAAGGUAUGUGCUAUGUGAAAGUCCAAUUAAGCGUCUUGAUCUAUCUCUAUAGAUCUUGAUGCCUAAUAUAUAAGCAGAUUCACCGAGGUCUUUCAUUGAAAAACUUUUAUUCAAGUAUCCUUUUAUGCUAUCCAGAAAUUCUAUAUCAUUUCCAAUCAACAGUAUGUCAUCCACAUAUAAUAUUAGAAAUGUUACAGAGCUCCCACUCACUUUAUUGUAAAUACAGGCUUCUCCAAAAGUAUGUAUAAAACCAUAUGCUUUGAUCACACUAUCAAAAUGUUUAUUCCAACUCCGAGAGACUUGCACCAGUCCAUAAAUGGAUUGCUGGAGCUUGCACACUUUGUUAGCAUCCUUUGGAUCGACAAAACCUUCUGGUUGCAUCAUAUACAACUCUUCUUCCAGAAACCCAUUCAGGAAUGCAGUUUUGACAUCCAUUUGCCAAAUUUCAUAAUCAUAAAAUGCAACAAUUGCUAACAUGAUUCGGACAGACUUAAGCAUCGCUACGGGCGAGAAAGUCUCGUCGUAGUCAACUCCUUGAACUUGUCGAAAACCUUUCGCAACAAGUCGGGCUUUGUAGACAGUAACAUUACCGUCAGCGUCAGUCUUCUUCUUGAAGAUCCAUUUAUUCUCGAUGGCUUGCCGAUCAUCGGGCAAGUCAACCAAAGUCCACACUUUGUUCUCAUACAUGGAUCCCAUCUCAGAUUUCAUGGCCUCAAGCCAUUUCACGGAAUCUGGGCUCAUCAUCGCUUCCUCAUAGUUCGUAGACUCGUUAUGGUCUAGUAACAUGAUGUCCAGAACAGGAUCACCGUACCACUCUAGUGCGGAUCUUACUCUGGUAGACCUACGAGGUUCAGUAGUAACUUGAUCUGAAGUUUCAUGAUCACUAUCAUUAGCUUCCUCACUAAUUGGUGUAGGAAUAACUGGAACUGAUUUCUGUGAUGAACUACUUUCCAAUUCGGGAGAAGGUACAAUUACCUCAUCAAGUUCUACUUUCCUCCCACUCACUUCUUUCGAGAGAAACUCCUUCUCUAGAAAGGAUCCAUUCUUAGCAACGAAUAUCUUGCCUUCGGAUCUGUGAUAGAAGGUGUACCCAACAGUCUCCUUUGGGUAUCCUAUGAAGACACAUUUCUCCGAUUUGGGUUCGAGCUUAUCAGGUUGAAGCUUUUUCACAUAAGCAUCGCAGCCCCAAACUUUUAGAAACGACAACUUGGGUUUCUUGCCAAACCACAGUUCAUAAGGUGUCGUCUCAACGGACUUAGAUGGUGCCCUAUUUAACGUGAAUGCAGCCAUCUCUAAAGCAUAACCCCAAAACGAUAGCAGUAAAUCAGUAAGAGACGUCAUAGAUCGCACCAUAUCUAAUAAAGUGCGGCUACGACGUUCGGACACACCAUUGCGCUGUGGUGUUCUAGGUGGCGUGAGUUGCGAAACUAUUCCACAUUGUUUCAAAUGAAGACCAAACUCGUUGUGACGCCCCCGAUUUGACCGUACACUAACCAUGCACACAAAUGUGUACGAUCAAGAUCCAGGACUCACGGGAAGAUACCACAACACAACUCUAAAACAUAAAUAAGUCAUACAAGCAUUAUAAUACAAGCCAGGGGCCUCGAGGGCUCGAAUACAAGUGCUCGAUCACAGACGAGUCAGCGGAAGCAACAAUAUCUGAGUACAGACAUAAGUUAAACAAGUUUGCCUUAAGAAGGCUAGCACAAACAGGGAUACAGAUCGAACGAGGCGCGUGCCUCCUACCUGGGAUCCUCCUAACUACUCCUGGUGGUCGUCAGCGGGCUGCACGUAGUAGUAGGCACCUCCAGUGUCGUAGGUGUCAUCGUCGACGGUGGCGUAUGGCUCCUGGACUCCAGCAUCUGGUUGCGACAACCAGAUAGAAAGGAAAAGGGGAAAAGAAGGAGAGAAGCAACCGUGAGUACUCAUCCAAAGUACUCGCAAGCAAUGAGCUAUACUACAUAUGCAUGGGUAUAUGUGUAAAGGGGCAUAUCAGUGGACUGAACUGCAGAAUGCCAGAAUAAAAGGGGGAUAGCUAGUCCUAUCGAAGACUACGCUUCUGGUCAUCUCCAUCUUGCAGCAUGUAGAAGAGAGUAGAUGGAAGUCCUCCAAGUAGCAUCGCAUAGCAUAAUCCUACCCGGCGAUCCCCUCCUCGUCGCCCUGUUAGAGAGCGAUCACCGGGUUGUAUCUGGCACUUGGAAGGGUGUAUUUUAUUCAGUAUCCAGUUCUAGUUGUCAUAAGGUCAAGGUACAACUCCGGGUCGUCCUUUUACCGAGGGACACGGCUAUUCGAAUAGAUAAACUUCCCUGCAGGGGUGCACCACAUAACCCAACACGCUCGAUCCCAUUUGGCCGGACACACUUUUCUGGGUGAUGCCCGGCCUCGUAAGAUCAACGCGUCGCAGCCCCACCUAGGCUCAACCGAGAGGUCAACACGCCGGUCUAACCCUAUGCGCGCAGGGGUCUGGGCCCAUCGC
rnacentral:lncRNA from 1 species